GGUACUAUUGGUCUGCCAGGACCACCAGGCAUCAGAGGAAAGCCAGGACCUUCAGUAAGUUUUAACUUUCACCUUUGUUCUGAUUAGCAGAGUGCAUGUCAUGGCAUGAGAAUUGAUACUUUUGAUGUUGGUAGAAUAUAAGAAGUAGGAUAUAGCUCAACAGUUUUAGAACAUAGCUAAACUGAACCUUGUUCAGUUUUAGAACAUAACUAAUUCCUCAGGUUUUCAUCUCAUAUUCCAUAGACGCUCCAACCUUCCCUACCCUAGGCCAAAGCCAAGUUUCUUUGAUCCCUAAAGAUCUUGAUUAAAUUAUUCCUUCCAAUGAUUUAUUAUAGACUACUUAACAAAACAAUGGGCUUUUAAAUCAGAAAUUUUAAAGCACUCUAAAUAAGUUUUCUGAAUCAGUAUCAUUAAGGGAAUAUUUCUGGAAAAAAAAAAAGAACAUGUCACAUUGUUGUAAAGUGUUCUAAUUCCCUGUUGUUUUUCUAACCUUCAUGCAUUAACUAGUUGAAAGGAAAAGACACUUUAUGUUGCAGUUAACAUAUAGUUAUAUUUAUAAAACUUAACAUAUAGUUAAAUUUAUAAAACUAAAAUUAUUUAAUAAUUAAACUAGAAUAAUUAAAGCAUGAGUCAAAAAAUAUCUCAAUAUUAAAAAUGAUAAUUGUUAUAGUUAAUAUUUAUUAUUUAUUAUUUAUAAAGUUUCAGGUGGUAUUCUAAGAAUUAUACAUCUCAUUUAAUACAACAAUCCUGUGAAGUUGGUACUCUUAUUACUCCUGUUUUAUAGAUUAAAGAUAUUGAGACACAGGGCAUUAAGUAACUUUCCCAGGGUCUUAUAGAUAGUCACUGACCACCUGGGAAGACCUAGGUUAUCAGGAAUGUUACAGCCUAUGCUUUAACCACUGUACCAUACUAUUUUAGGGCUUAAUAUUUUAAGAUUGUUUUAAUAUUGAUUACAACUCUAUAAAGAUGUAGAUGAUAUUAAUUAGAAAAAUUAGAAUUAAAAUAUACAUUUAAAAAUAUCACUUUCCUGAGCAAUUUAUUGUGUUGCCUCUAACUCCACAAUGUCAUCUAAGGAUUGUUCAUUUCUCAUCUCCUGAAGCACUAUUUAGAAAUUUAGGCACUCCCUUCUUUGUAACAUCUAAUUGUGACAGCAUGUGUGUAUGUGUAUAUAUAUGUAAAUGUGUGUGUGUGUGUGUGUGUGUAUUUCCAUACAAAAACAAAUUUUGGGAUCUCUUUUUCUGAUGGCAUGUUGGUGGGCAACCUUUGCUUUUUUUGUUUAAAUGUCUUUAUUUUGUUUAUUUAUUUUUAUGUGGUGCUGAGGAUCGACUCUGGUGUCACACGUGUGAGUCAAGCGCUCCACCACUGAGCUACAACCCCAGCCCAGCAACCUUUGCUUUUACUGGUUUUUUUAUCCUGGGCUUAUGGCAGUCAACCCAAUUAAUCUUGUAUCCCAGAAUUGUGCCCUAGAGUCAAAUCUUAGUAAUUUCAAAGUGUAUAAAUAGGGCAUGAGAAUCGGUCAUGAAGCUAAGUAACAAAUAGCUUAUGUUUUUCAAGGAUGAUUCUAAACAAUAUAAUAGAAUAUAAAAUAGAGUAUGUAUGAGAGAUGGAGAUUUGGUUUCUAGUUCUCAACUCUGACAUUUGACCUGCCAUGAUCUUGGCAUUGAUUUACCAUAGAUCCGAUUUCUCAUGUUAGAAUAUGUAUGUUUCAGAAUUCCUGUAGCUCUGUGACUCUAUGAUAUUUCUGUCUCUUAGUAAUAGUGCCUACUACUAUUGCUAUAAUCUAAAGAAAAAGUCAAAAUACCUUAUUUUACCUCUGUGUUGGUCAGCUUUUCAUCACUUUGACCAAAAUAUACAAAAUAACAACUUAGAGGAGGAAAAUUUUAUUUUGGCUUAAAGUCCCAGAGAUUUGGUCGGCCAAGUCCAUUGUUCUUGGUUCAAGGUGAGACAGAACAUCAUGUUGGAAGGCCAUGGUGGAGGAGCAUGACUCCAUUCAUGGUAACCAGGAAGCAUAGAAAUGGAGAAGGAAAGGACCACAGGGAAGAUGAACCCUUCCAAGGCAUGUCCCUGGAUGAACCCUUCCAGGGCAUGGCCCACCUCCUCCAGCCAUACCCCUUGUGCCUGCAGUUACCACCCAGUCAGUGCAUUCAAACUGGAUGGACUGAUUAGGUUAUAGGUCUCACUAUCUAAUUAUCUCACCUCUGAAUAUUCCUGCAAUAACACAGGAGCUUUGGGGGACACCUCAUAUCCAAACCAUAACAACCUUCAUCAUUGUCGUAAUAUUUUUUUCCUAAAAGAAAUCACAGUAAGUGCUAAUGAGGUUCUUUUAGGGCAGAGAACAAGAGAUGGUAAUAAUUAGGAUUUUACUGACUUCAUACUCAUUUUAUACCCUUCUGUACUAUUCUAAAAACAUUAAUAGCCAGGAUUACUUUGGUAGGGAGAUAAUUGACAAUUUUUGUUACUUUUAUCAAACCUUUGAAAAAUAUUUACUUUCAGCUCAAAAUUGGGUGGAGACUCAUGAUUAAUAUUAGUAAAAUGAACUUGUCUUUGGUCUCUCACUGUAUCCUUUGUAUUAAUACAAAAGAUGUUUAACCUAGAUACCUUCCCUCAUUAAGGAAGGAGACUCCUACUUGAUGAAGUAUUGCCUAUACAGAAUCAGUUAUUAAGAAAAAACUUCCAUACCAAAUUAUACAAGUUAGUACCUACUAACUAUCAUGGAAAAAAUGCUAAAGUUAUAUGAUGUCUUUCAUAUUUUAUAUGUCCUGCUUUUGGUUUUCUUUCAUCAAAGAUUUUGAUGUGACUGGAAUUAUUUUCAAGUGGAUCUAAGUUAUAAUAUGAAAGAAUAUUUUCUAGAUAUAAGAAUGUCCUGAUCUGGGAGGUUUGUACAUUCUGGAAUAAGGAAGCUUUUGUUCUUCAAGUAUUAAAAAAAAAAAAAAAAUAGAGAAAACUACCACUCUGAAAGUGUUAGAAAAUACUCUGAUCUGGGAGGUUUGUACAUUCUGGAAUAAGGAAGCUUUUGUUCUUCAAGUAUUAAAAAAAAAAAAAAAUAGAGAAAACUACCACUCUGAAAGUGUUAGAAAAUACUCUUUCCCUGAGAUAGAGAAAAAAGACAAUUAUAACUUAUUUUCCAUUUUUAAAUAAGAAGUCUUUGUCAUUUAUAAAGAUGUACCUAAUGUUAUUCCAUCUCUAAGUUACUUGAAAACUCAAGUUUUUGUGAAGGAAAGGUGACAUUUACAAUAAACUUGCAACUGAGGUUUUAUAAAACAAAGAAUUAUUAUUAUUAUAAUGAAUAAAAUUAUUCCACAUAAAAUUAUUAUUAUUAUAAUGAAUAAAAUUAUUCCACAAUUUAUGUUUUUAAAUAUUUGGUUGUUACUUAACUUUUCUGAAAACAAUGGCUAGGCUAGUCAAUUUUCCUAAAUGCUUGUGAAGUUAGGGUCUGGCUGGAUUUUGCCACUAGAGGUCCCCAGUGAGAACUCCAUCUCUGAGAGGGAUACUUGUCAUUUUUAGAAUUUAAGACUCCCUAUGUACCGAUUCUGAUGAAUCACAGUUUUUGUUUAUUUGGAACUGAGAACUUAAAUGGGUCUUUGAAUGAUAUUUCAUUACCAGACUCUGGAUGUGAUUGCAGUAGUCGUGUCCUCUUUUACAUCCAGGUACCUUAGCACUGAGAAUUGAAUCAGUACAUAUAGGAAAUUGUGCUCUGGUUCUUUAAAAAUGUGUAAUCUUAUAUUGCAACUUGUAGUUUUAUGUGAUCUGAAGUCCACUUAAAUCAAAUUUGAAGCUCAAAUACAAAUUUAAUAUGAGAAAAAUAAUGAAUUCAAUAGUUUUUCUUUCAUAACUAAGGGUAUCCUUAGACUACUGACCUUCCCUUUUCUGAACUUUAUCUCUUGAGAGCUUUGUCAGCCUUCUCUGGUUUCAGGCUUUAUACCACUUCUUUUUCCUUUCCAUCCCUGAUUUCACAUAUGAAUGUCUUCUAAAAUACUGAAAUCAAAAUCUUCAAACUUUAAUUAGAGGAUCACAACCAUGUCGGAGUUUCAAAUAUCAGCCAGAAGAGGAGCAAGGAUAUGAAAAGAGAGAUAAAUGAUUUUAAACUUGGUUAACGUUUAAUGAAUAUUUAUACUUUCUAAGUGCUAGGUACUGUGCUUAUCACUUUACAUAUAUUGUCUCAUUUAAUCCUCAAAACGACUCUAUGAAAAUGUCAGUAGUGUUGUUAUUCCUAUUUUACUGAUGAGAAGACAGGUUUAGAGAGAUUAAGCAACAAGGAUUUCAAUCCCAGUGAGUCUUAAAUAUUAAAUCAGGACAUUAAAAUGGGAGAAAAGAAUUUUCAGAAACAGUUUAAAGGCUUUGAUUAUUUAGAAAAGCAAUUCUUCAUCUAAAAUUCCCUACCUCUUUGAGUCAAACUUUAUUUUUCUAGCUCUAGGCAACACACACACACACACACACACACACACUUUUUUUCUCUUGAUUUGAGCACUUAACUCAUAAAUUUGUAUGUCUAACAGUUAAGAGUAAAUAUGUAUUAUCCAUAAACAUUUUACUUAAAUAAAUUUCACAGUGAUGAUAGUUACAAAUUAAGACUCUGAAAAGUCAUUAAAACUUUGUUGGGCAUAAUAUAUUGAAUGCUAUUUGUAAUAUACUUGUUUCCUCUUCUAGUUCCAUUUAUUAAGCUAACAUAUAUAUUUUGAUUCUCCUCUUCCCUCUUUAGGGUCAAUCAGGUGACCCAGGACCCAAAGGACCAAUUGGCCCCCCAGGACCAGAGGUAAAAUAUUGAUGGAAAGAUAAUGAAAUUGAAACAAUAAUGGUGGAAAUUAAAUAAUUGAUAGAAUGUGUUCUAUAUUAUAUAGUAAGCUGAAGAAAAUUUUUUCUAAAGUUUAACUCUAUAAAAAGUCUAGAGUAAAUUGUGUUCUAUUAAUUCAGGAGAUACCCAACAGUGAUGAGUGCUCCUAAGAAAAUAGUUAUUAACUAUCCCUUAUCUUAAAUUUGUGGAAUCAGAAGUAUUUUACAUCUUUUUUUUUUCAAAUUUUGGAAUACUUACAUAUUAAUAAUGAGAUAUCUUAGGAAUAGAAACCAAAUCUGAACACAAAAUUCGUUUUUGUUUCUUAUAUACUUUAUACACAUAGUCCAAAGAUAACUUUAUAUACUUUUAGUUCACAUGUGUUUUGACUGUGAUAGGGGAUCAGGUAUGAAUUUUCCAAUUGUUGUACCAUUGUUGGCUCUCAAGAAGUUUCAGAUUUUGGAAUAUUUCAUAUUUUAGAUUUUUAUAUUAGGAAUGUUUGACCUAUAUUAGCCUCAUUUUCAUCCUGAUCAUUCCAUAGCAGAUGUAUUUGUUCCACAAAGCCAUCUAUUAAUAACACAUACUUGUAGCGUGAAAUCAAAUUCUGGGACAUAAAUUGAAAUAUUAGUGCAGCAUUCUUCUAAUUCUUGUUAUAUAUGCAUGUCAUUUGUAUCUCAUAUUUUAGAAUAAACAUAAUUAAGUCUGCACUACAUAUAUCAAAUUUGCUUGUAUAUUCUUUAAAAUUUGGACUUUGGUUUUAUGCUUGAUAUAGAACAGCUUUCUUUCUGUAAGUCGGCAUAGAUCGUGAGCUUCUGAGAUAAAACAUUUGGACUUUUUAAAAUCUAUUACAUGAGUUAAAGCUUCUGAACCUUACCCUAGUCUUGGGUAUACAUACCAAAAUAUACACACGUGCAUGCACAUACAUACACAUCUAAUUCAGACUAGUUGCAGUAGUAAAACUGAGGACAUGAGUUGGCUUCAGAAUAAAUAAAUCAGAGUAGUGUCCCAAUAGUGGCAAAACAGUAGGCAAUUUCAAGGAUAGUUAUAGACUGAUGCCUUCUCCCUCUCUUUGUAAAAGAUGAAAUCCACUACUUAUUCCAUUGCUGUUUGGGGAGACUUACUAACUUCUUUAACUAAUUAAUGUCCUUAUUUCUAAUUAAAAACACCUUCCAUAAUGAUAGUUCAAAAAUCUAAAAAACUACAUUAUACCUACUUUUAUUGAUAAAAAGGUAAUAGGAAGUAAAACACAGCAGCAUUUUAAUGUCAUCAUUCUGAGAUGGAGGAAAUUGUCUUCAGAAUAAUAAAAAUUUAUCUCUUUCUAAGAACCUACAUUCUUUCAUUUUUAAGCACUUUUAAUGAAAACUCUUCUUAAAUAAAUAACAUUUGCCUGUCUUCUCAUAUUAAAGAUACAGAAUCUAAUUUAACUUUAUUUUAAAAGGUUAUCAUAAUGACUGUGAAUUGCUAAGUUAAACUACAAUUACAAGUGGUAUAUGCCCUAGGAAGGACUGUGUGAAUUCCUGGUUUUCUCUUGAUUUUGGGCUAUUUUCUUCUUUCACAUAAAGCUUGAUUAAGGAUGUAUGAACUAUGUUUUCACUUGCUGCUUGGUCUUACAAACAUGUUUCUUUCUUCUCUGUAUCCUUUGAAAUGUUAGGAUCUGCCCUCAACAUGUAAAACAUUGUCUCCAUGAUUUUGUUUCUGCACUACUAAUAAAAGAUCUUGAGCCCCACCGUGUCAGACUAUACUCUAUACAAUUCUUCAGCUUCACCUGUGUUUUCAUAGACCUGAAGAUAUAAUCUGUUCUCUCUCAUGAAUUAGUAUAAGAUUCUUUUGGGGAACAAGACCUAAUCCAAGGAAUAUGACUUCUUCUAGCUCAUAAAAAUAGAACACAGGCAACCAUACAUGAGGCAAUACAUUUAUCCCAACUUUCUCAACCUUAGGCUUUUAAUAGAUUUGCAGGUGCAAAAAUUUAAUGUAAUAUGUUUAAUAGAAAAUCAAAGCUAUAAGUUUCUACUUGAAUAGUGGAUGAAUUUUCUCAGGUAAAUUAUGUAUUGUGCUAAAUUUAGAUUUUAUCUUGUAGGCAUUGACCAAAGUUUUCUAAGCAAGUGAAUAGAAGUAUGAGACUUGUGCUUCGUGAGACAUAUAUAUGAUAGCCAGAAGGAUAAUAAAGGAGGGAGGAGAAACCAGGAAACCAGGAAAAAAAGUAUAUAGAAACCGAAGACCUGACUCUAAGAACUUAGAGUAGAUUAGAGAUACAUAUUAGAUAAUCAUCUACAUAGAGAUUACAUGAAGUAAUUGUAAUAGAUGAAAUUGUUUCAGGAAAGUUCUUGAUACUAGGUAUGAAAAUACUAUAUCUGGACACUCACACCCAGAAGGCUUCAGUUUUAAGUUGGUAAUAAAAGGGCAAUAAAAUAAAUUUUGGCAACUGAAAAGCAUACUCCUAAGUAAUUCAUGGACUGGAGAGAGAGGAAAACCAAAUCACAAUGGAAAUUUAAAAACACAUAGAACUGAAUAAGUACAAAUCACUGUAAAAAUUUGAGUGUUGCACCUAAAUCAACACUUAGAGGGAAAUUUAUAGACAAAUUCAUGAAAAGCAAGGAAGAUUAAAAACAAAAAUGAGUUACACUGACCAUAAGUGUGGGGAUUUGUUUCAAAGGGAGAAUGAGGUUGAAAGACAACAAAUAGGAUAGGUUCUGUGUUUUUGCAAGUAGGACACUUAAGUCCCAGAAUAUAAUAUAAUAUGAUGGAGGGAGAAUCUUGAGGACUUCCAUGAAAACUGAGUAGAGGAAUGAGUGAGGGCUUAUAAAAUAUUUCUGAAUUGUGUUAAGGUUGAGACUUUUUUCCAAAAUAUGGCCAAAAAUUCUUGUACAUUUUAUUAAAGAUGGAUUUUGAUUUAAACUCCAAAUUCCUACUGGCCAUAGCAAUGAAAUACAUCAGCUAUAUGAUUCUCCUCUCACUUGGAUAAUAGCAUGUUCAUUGUUCAAAAGGAGGAUAGCAAUACAUGACAUUAAGUCUCUGUGAUUUUCGUUUGUCAGUAUAGAUUGACAUCAUACUACCAAACUAUAAUUCAAUAAAAGUAAUUUUAUUAGAAGUCAAAAUUAUGAAGUUUAGGUAUAUACUCCUAUGACAGUUUUUGUUAAUUAGCUGGCAAUAAAAUGUUUAAAUUAAAAUCUAAAAAAUAAUACAGUAUUUUAGAUUUAAUAUAUUUUGAAUGUAAGUUGAGGAAUUAGCCUGAGUAUCAUAAACUCUAUGCCUUUCUUCUUUUUUAUAAUGAAACUAUUAAUAGUACCAAACUCAUAAAGUUGAUGUUUUAUACACAUUAAUACAUGUAAAACACUUCAGUAUCUGGUUAAUAGGAAGCACUUAAUAAAUAUUAGCUACCACCAUCACUGUCAUCAAUGUAGGGCAAAGGAACUGUCUGUACCCAUGACAAGUUUCAGAAAGCCUGGUUGGUUCAAGAUGAAAAUCAUGCCAUAGUAACUGGUGUAAAUGAAAUCGAAAGUUAUGUAUAGUGAAAUUGGAAAUGUAUAUGGGGUAUAUCAUGUAGUACUUUGCAGAAAAUAAGGAGAAACUGGAUUUUGUUUUAAGUGCAGUAGGAAACCAUUGAAACUUUAACAUGCAGUAGUAUGAUCUUACUUGAUUUCACUUUUAGAAGGUUAUUUUUACUGUUGUGUAGAUAUGAGAGAAUGAGGAGAAAGAGUGCUGAAAGCACUUUGAAAAUAGAUGAUUUAAGGAUAUUAUUUUAGUUUUCUGGGUACAACAUGAUAAUAUCUUGCAAUAAUGUUGUAGAAAUAGAGAAUGAGCUUGUUUAGAAAAAUGGUAAUUUCAGUUUUAGACAAUAAAGCUAUGUAGCUUUAGAAUUAUGUUUUUCUAUCUUUACCAUUCAUUGUUAUCACCUACCUGAGGAACUUAAAAAAAAAUACAGAUGCCCAGAGUCAAUCCCAGUAGUGCUGAAUCAGAAUUACUUGGAGGUACGCCAUGGUGGUUAACAGUAACAAUAAAGAACUACAUUUUAACUUUCUAUUCUUUUUUUUCUUUUUUUGCACUCUUUUAUUGGGCUUAAGAGUGAUUAGUAUAUAGUGAAUUCUUUUUUAUUGAUUUUUAAAAAAAUAAAUGUCAGCAGAAUGCAUUUCAAUUCUUAUUACACAUAUACAGCACAAAUUUUCAUACCUCUGGUUGUAUAUAAAGUAUGUUGACAGCAAUUCAUGUCUUCAUACAUGUACUUUGGAUAAUGAUGUCUAUCACAUUCCACUAUCCUUGCUAACCCCCUGCCCCCUCCCAUUCCCGCCCACCCCUCUGCCCUAUCGAGAGUUCAUCUAUUGCUCCCAUGCUUCACCUCCCUAACCCACUAUGAAUCAGUCUCCUUAUAUCAGAGAAAACAUUCGGCAUUUGUUUUUUUGGGAUUGGCUAACUUCACUUAGCAUUAUCUUCUCCAAUGCCAUCCAUUUACCUGCAAAUGCCAUGACUUUAUUCUCUUUUAUUGCUGAGUGAUAUUCCAUUGUGUAUAUAUGCCACAUUUUAAAAAUUCAUUCAUCUAUUAAAGAGCAUCUAGGUUGGUUCCACAGUUUAGCUAUUGUGAAUUGCGCUGGUAUAAACAUUGAUGUGGCUGUAUCCCUUAAUAUGCUGUUUUUUUAAGUCCUUUGGGUAUAGACUGAGGAGAGGGAUAGCUGGGUCAAAUGGUGGUUCCAUUCCCAUAUUUCCAAAGAAUCUCCAUACUGCUUUCCAUAUUGGCUGCACCAAUUUGCAGUCCCACCAGCAAUGUAUGAGUGUACCUUUGGCCCCACAUCCUAGCCAACACUUAUUAUUGUUUGUCUUCAUAAUAACUACCAUUCUGACUGGGGUGAGAUGAUAUCUUAGAGCAGUUUUGAUUUGCAUUUCUCUAAUUUCUAGAGAUCAUGAACAUUUUUUCAUAUAUUUGUUGAUUGAUUGUAUAUCCUCUUCUGAGAAUAUCUGUUCAUGUCGUUGGCCCAUUUAUUGAUUGGGUUGUUUUUUUGUUUGUUUGUUUGUUUUGUCUUUUUUUUAGUGCUUAGCUUUUUGAGUUCUUUAUAUACCUUAGAGAUUAGUGUUCUAUCUGAUGUGUGAGGGGUAAAAAUUUGCUCCCAACAUGUAGGCUCUCUAUUUACCUCACAGAUUGUGUCUUUUGCUGAAAUGAAACUUUUUAGUUGAAUCCAUCCCAUUUAUUGAUUCUUGGUUUUAAUUCUUGUGCAAUAAGAGUGUUAUUAAGGAAGUUGGGGCCUAAUCCCACAUGAUUAAGAUUAGGGCCCACUUUUUCUUCUAUUGGAUGCAGAGUCUCUGGUUUAAUUCCUAGGUCCCUGGUCUACUUUGAGUUGAGUUUUGUGCAUGAUGAGAGAUAGGGGUUUAAUUUCAUUUUUUUUGCAUCUGGAUUUCCAGUUUUCCCAGCACCAUUUGUUAAAGAGGCUAUCUUUUCUCCAAUGCAUGUUUUUGGCAUUUUUGUAUAAUAAAAGAUAACUGUAGUUAUGUGGGUUAGUCUCUGUGUAACUAGUAAAUGAAUUCACCAAAGUAGCAGGAUGUAAAAUCAACACCCAUAAAUCAAAGGCAUUUCUGUAUAUCAUUGACAAAUCCUCUGAGAAUGAAAUGAGGAAAACUACCCCAUUUACAAUAGCCUCAAAAAAAAUAGUUAGGAAUCAACUUAAAGAAAGAGGUGAAAGAUCUAUACAAUGAAAACUACAGGACACUAAUGAAAGAAAUCAAACUUUCUAUUCUUAGUAGCAGAAGGACCUUUUCCAACAGAUAUAAAGUGUUUUCAAACAAUUAAUAUGUGUUUUAGGUAGCUUUUUUGCUGCUCUGAUUAAAAGACCUGACAAGAACAAUUUUAGAGGAGGAAAAUUCUAUUUGGGGCUCAGGGUUUCAGAGGUUUCAGUCUAUAGAGGGAGGUCUCCUUUCCUUAGGGCUGGAGAUGAGGCAGGCAAAACAUCAUGGUGGAAUACUGUGACAGAGGGAAGCAGCUCAUAUGAUGAUCAGGAAGCAGAGGAAGACUUCACUCACCAGACACAAAAUUUAUACCCCAAAGGCAUGCCCCAGUGACCUACCUCCUCCAACCACAGCCUAUCUACCUUCAGUUAACAUUCAGUUAAUCCCAUCAAGUGAUUAAUCACUGACUGGUUAAGGCUCUCAAAAACCAAUCAUUUCUCCUCUGAACCUUCUUACAUUCUCUCAUACUGUAAGUCUGGAAGAAGAAGUCAUAACAUUCUCCUACUAUGCCUAAAAUUCUCUAAUUUUGUGUCUUAGUAACCUUGGGAAAUUAUAUUACCAAAGAAGUACAGCAUGGCACAGACAUAGAAUUCUCUAAAUGUUUUUAGUAUAAAAUAACAAAAGAAAAUCACUAAUAAGCUUCGUUAGGAAAUUUUUACAGUUAACAUUUAAUUUGUAACAGCAGCUGGAAUAUAGAAGAAAGAGAGUUGCAUAACCCUUGGAGUACAGAGUGAAUUUGACCUCAUGUCAGGCUUAUAAUACCAAUAUCAUAGGAAGAAGCCUGAGUUAAGAAGGUAAAAAGAGCAAACAACCAAGAAAAAUAGUCUAACAGAAGGGGGAAGGAGUUAAUCUGAGUUACUCCAGUGAAAUAUUUAUAUAUUUUGAUAAGAUUUGUAGUCCUAGAAUAUUUUUCUUCCAUUUGAAUGCAUGGUUGUUUAUGUACAAGUACCACAUUGUUUUAAUACUAACAGCUUUAUGGUAUGUUUAAUGUCUAGAAAGCCUGUAAAUCCUCUUAGUUUUCUUUUUCAGUGUUUUCCUAGCCAUGCUUGUGUUCUCUUUAUAUCUAUAUAAAUUUUGGCAUCAAUCUAUUUAGCUUCAUUUAAAAUAUUAUUCAAUAUUAUUAAAUAAAAUACUACUAGUAAAUACUAUUUCAUUCACUUAAACUCAUAUUUAUAAACUAAGAAAACAUUUGAUAUUUUUAUGAUGCUGAGUCAUCCUCUCCAAGAACAACAAAUGUUAUUUGUGUUUUUCAGGAAUAUUUAAAAUUUUUCCUCAUAGAUGUUUUGCAUAUUUCUUGUUAAAUUUGUUCCUUUUUUAUCUUUUCAUGGCUACUUUAAGUACAGUUUCUCUGCCAUUAUAAUUCUCCAACAGGUUUUUGUUUAUGUGUGUGAAUACUGUUGAUUUCUCAAUGCCAGUUUUACAUACUACUACCUUAGUGUUUUUCCUUUAAAUUAAUUUUACUAUUAAUUUUUUAGAGUUUCCUAGGCUUGCUAUCAUUUUUCAAAUAGAGAUAAUUUUAUAUAUUCUUUCCUAAUUCUAAUAUUUCUAACUUAAUUCUCCUGAAUAAUUGCAUUGUUCUCUAGUAGAGAGUUAAGAGAGUUGGAAGUAGUGAGCAUUUUGAGCCUUCUCCUGAUCUUAGUGGAAAUAUAGAGAUACCUCGUGAAGUAAAUGCUGGAACUGAGAUUAAAAUAUGCAUAUAUUUUGUCGUGGUAAACAUAAAUCUAUCAAUUCCUAUUUUCUUAAUUUUUUUAGAAAUCAGGAAUGAUUGAUACAUUUUGUUAAAUAAAUAAACAUCUAUUAAUAAAUAUUUAUAAAUUUUAACAAAUAAAUAUUUAACAAAAUAUAUCAACCAAUUCUUAUUUUUUAAAAAAAUAACACAUAUACUUAUGUAGUUCCAAUACCUAUAAUUAUAUAUUAUUUCUUUUUUUAGAUCUAUCAUAUAGUUCCAACAUCUAUAAUUAUGUUUCUCUUUAUUUUUAGAUCUAUUUAUAUGACAUGUUACAUUAAUAGGUUUUCUUUUGACCCAGCUUCAAAAUAUUGAAUAAAUUGCAUUUACCCUUGGUUCCAUCAUCCCCUACCAAAGUGACACAUUUUUACCAUUGACAAACCUAUAUUGAUAAAUUAUAAUAGCCCAAAGUCCAUACAUUACAUUAGGGUUCAUUCUCUUUUUUACCUCGUGUAGAUUUAUUUUUUAAUUCAUUCUUGUUUGUUAUCUAUGACAGUAGAAUGUAUUUUGAAUAUUGUACAUAUAAGAAGUACAACUUCCCAUUCUUCUGGUUGUACAUGAUAUAGAAUUACAUUGGUUGUGUAUUCAUAUAUGAACAUAGGAAAGUAAAGUCCAAUUCAUUUUACUGUCUUUCCUAUUCCCAUUACCCCAACUUUCCCUUCAUUCCCCUUGUCUAAUCCAAAGUACUUCUGAUUUUCCCUAACCCUUCUUAUUGUGAUUUAGUAUCCGCAUAUCAGAGGAAACAUUCAGCCUUUGGUUCUUUGGGAUCGGCUCAUUUCAUUUAGCUUGAGAGUCUCUAAUUCUGUCCACUUACCAGCAAAUGCCAUAGUUUCAUUUCUCUUUAUGACUGAGUAGUAUUCCAUUGUGUAAAUGUUCCACACUUUCUUUAUCCAUUCGUCUGUUGAAGGGCACCCAGGCUCAUUCUAUAGCUUAGCUAUUGUGAAUUGAGCUGCUAUAACCAUUGAUGUGGCUGCAUCACUAUAAUAUGCCGAUUUUAGCUGGAUCAAAUGGUUGUUCCAUUCCAAGUUUCUGAAAAAUCCCCAUACUGCUUUCCACAGUGGUUGCACCAAUUUGUAGUCCCAUCAGCAAUGUAUGAGUGUGCCUUUUCCUCAUAUCCUCUCCAAAUCUAAUGUUAUUUGUAUUCUUUAUUAUUGCCAUUCUGACUGGAGUGAGAAGGAAUCUAGGUAUAGUUUUAAUUUGCAUUUCUCUAACUGCUAGAGAUGGUGAACAUUUUUUUUCAUAUAUUUGUGGACCUAUCCUAUUUCUUCUGUGAAGUGCCAGUUCAGUUCCUUGGCCCAUUUAUUGAUUGGCUUAUUUACUUUUUUGGUGUUGAGUUUUUUGAGUUCUUUAUGAAUCCUGGAGAUUAGUGCUCAGAGGUAUAUGUGGUAAAGAUUUUUCACCUAUUCUGUAGGUUCUCUCUUCAUAUUGAUUAUUUUCUUUGCUGAGAAGAAGCCUUUUAUUUUGAAUCUAUCCCACUCAUUGAUUUUUAAUUUGCCUUCUUGCACUUUAGGAGUCUUGUUAAGGAAGUCAGGUUCUAAGCCGAUAUGAUAAAGACUUGAGCCUACUUUUUUCUUCUACUAGGCACAGGGUCUCUGUUUUAGUGCCUAAGUCUUUGAUCCACUUUGAGUUGAGUUUUGUACAGGGUGAGAUAGAAGUUUAAUUUCAUUUUGCUGCAUAUGGAUUUUCAAUAUUCCAAGUACAAUUUGUUUAACAGGCUAUCUUUUCUCCAGUGUAUGUUUUUGUUGCCUUUGUGUAGUAUGAUAUAACUAUAUUUAUAUGAGUUUGUCUCUGUGUCUUCUAUUCUGUAUCAUAGGUCUACAUGUCUAUUUUGGUGCCAGUACCAUGCCAUUUUUGUAACUAUUGCUCUGUAAUAUAGUUUAAGGUCUGGUAUUGUAGUGCCAUCUGUUUCAAUAUUCUUGCUAAUGGUUGCUUUGGCUAUUCUGGGCCUCUUAUUUUUCCAAAUGAAUUGCAUGAUUGCUUUUUCUAGUGCUAUGAAGAAUGUCAUUGGUAUUUUAAUAGGAAUUGCAUUAAAUGUGUAUAACACUUUUGGAAGCAUGGUGGUUUUGACAAUGUUAAUUCUGCCUAUCCAAGAACAUGGGAGAGCCUUCUAUUUUUUAAGGUCUUCUUCAAUUUCUUUCUUUAGUGUACUGUAUUUUUCAUUGUAGAAGUUUUUCACCUAUUUUGUUAGAUUGACUCCCAAAUAUUUUAUAUUUUUGAGACUAUUGUGAAUGGGGUAGUUUCCCAAGUUUCUCUUUCAUUUGAUUUUAUCACUGAUGUAUAGGAACACAAUUGAUUUAUGAGUAUCAAUUUUAUAUCCUGACAUUUUGCUGAGUCAUUUGUUAGUUCUGGAAGUUUCAUGGUGGAGUUUUUUGGGUCUUCUAGAUAUAGAAUCAUAUCGUCUGCAAAUGGGGACAAUUUGAGUUCUUUUCCCUUUAAAAUUUGGAUCCCUUUAAUUUCUUUCUUCUGUAUAAUUGCUCUGACUAGGGUUUCAAGGACAAUGUUGAGUAGAAGUGGUGAAAGAGGGCACCCUUGUCUUUUCCAAUUUUUAGAGGGAAUUCUUUCAAUUUUUCUCAAUUUAGAAUGAUCUUGGCCUUGAGUUUAGCAUAUAUAACUUUUGCAAUGUUGAGGUAUGUCCCUACUAUCCCUAGUUUUUCUAGUGUUUUGAACAUGAAAGGGUAGGGUGCUGCAUUUUAUCAAGUUAUUUUUCUACAUCUAGUAAGAUGAUCAUGUGAUUCUUGUCUUUUAAGUCAAUUGAUAUGAUAAAUUAUGUUUAUUGAUUUCCUUAUGUUGAACCAACCUUCCAUUCCUAGGAUGAAUCCCACUUGGUCUUGGUACACUAUCUUUUAAAUAUGUUUUUAUGCGAUUUGCCAGAAUUUUAUUACGAAUUUUUGCAUCUAUGUUCAUCAGCAAUAUUGGUCUGAAGUUUUCUCUCCUUGAUGUGUCUUUGUUUUUGGUAUCAGGGUGAUACUAGCCUCAUAGAAUGAGUUUAGAAGGAUUCUCUCCUUUUCUGUUUCAUGGAAUAAUUUGAGAAGUAUUGGUGUUAAUUCUUCUUUGAAGGUCUGGUAGAAUGAGGCUGAAAAUCUAUCUGGUCCUAGGUUUUUCUUAGUUGGUAGGCUUUUGAUGGAAAUAUCCAUUUAAUUGAUUAAAAUUGAUCUGUUUAUAUUGUCUAUGUCUUCCUCUUUCAGUUUAGCUAGGUCAUAUAUCUCUAGAAAUUUGUCAAUGUCUUCAAGAUUUUCUAUUUUAUUAGAGAAUAAAUUUUCAAAAUAUUUUCUGAAUAUCUUUAGCAUUUCAGUAAUGUCUGUCAUAUUUCCUUUUUCAUCAUGAAUUUUAGUAAUUUGAGUUUUCUCAUUCUCUUCAUUAGCAUGGCUAAGGGUUUACCAAUUUCGUUUAUUUUUUCAAAAAUAAUUUUUUGUUUUUUCAAUUUUUUGAAUGAUUUGUUUUGUUUCAAUUUCAUUGAUUUCAGCUCUGAUUUAAUUAUUUCUUGUCUUCUGUAUUUGGUGUUGAUUUGUUCUUCUUUUUCUAGGGCCUUGGUGAUUUUCUAUUCUUUUAAUGAAUGAGCUCAAUGCUAUGAACUUUCCUCUUAGACCUGCCUUCAUAGUGUCUCAGAGAUUUUGAUAUGUUAUGUUGCUAUUCUCACUCAUCUCAUUUUCAUUGUUUACUCCAUAAUAUAUAGUUUCCAGGUAUUGGAGUAGCUUCUGUUUUUAUUUUAUCAUUGAUUUCUAAUUUCAUUCCAUUAUGAUCUGAUAGAAUGCAGGGUAGUAUCUCUAUUUAUUUUUAUACUUCCUAAGAUUGCUUUGUGGCCUAACUUAUGGUCUAUUUUAGAAAAGGAUUUAUGUGCUGCUGAGAAAAAAGUGUAUUUGCUCAUUGAUGGAGAAAAUAUUCUAUAUAUGUGUAUUAAGUCUAAAUUAUUGAUUGUAUUAUUUAGUCCUAAAGUUUUUUUGUUAAGUUUUUGUUUGGAGGAUAUAUCCAGUAGUGAGAGGGGUGUGUUAAAGUCACCCAGUAUUAUUGUGUUGUGGUCUAUUUGACUUUCUAACUUGAGAAGAGUUUGUUUGAUGAAUGUAGAUGCUCCGUUGUUUGAGGCAUAAAUAUUUAUGAUUGUUACGUCUUGUCGAUAUAAUCCUUUAAGGUAGUAUGAAAUAUCCUUCUUUGUCCCUUCUGAUUAAACUUUGGCUUGAAGUCCACUUUAUUUGACAUGAAGAUAGAAACCUCUACUUGUUUACAAGAUCCAUGUGAGUGAUAUGUUUUUUCCCAUCAUUUCACCUUCAGUGUGGAUGAAUUUGCUUAUGAGGUGAGUCUUUUGGAGACAGCAUAUUGUUGGGUCUUGUUUUUUAAUCCAAUCUGUUAGUCUAUGUUUUUUGAUUGAUGAGUUUAGGCCUUUUACAUUCAAAGUUAUUAUGGAGAUAUGAUUUGUAUUCCCAGUCAUUUUGGUUUAUUACUGGGUUUUUUUUAGAGAGAGAGAAAAAAAAUUUAAAUAUUUAUUUAUUUCUCUUUAGUUUUUGGUGGACACAACAUUUUUAUUUUAUUUUUUUAUGUGGUGCUGAGGAUGGAACCCAGCGCCCCGCGCAUGCCAGGUGAGCACGCUACCACUUGAGCCACAUUCCCAGCCCCUAUUACUGGGUUUUAAUUUGAAUUAGUUUCUCCUUUGAUUGAGUAUUCCUUUAGUGUAGUUAUUCCCUUUACUGGUUUUCAUUUUUAUUUUUCAUUUCUUAUUCAUGAAAUACUUUGCUGAGAAUGUUCUGUAGUGCAUGCUUUCUAGUUGUGAAUUCUUUUUUGGGGAGGGUGGGUACCAAGGAUUGAACUCAGAGGCACUCAACCACUGAUCUAUAUCCCCAGACCUAUUUUUUGUAUUUUAUUUAUAGACAGAGUCUUAUUGAGUUGCUUUAAUGCCUCACCAUUGCUGAGACUGGCUUUGAACUCAUGAUCCUCCUGCCUUAGCCUCCCAAGCUAUUGGUAUUACAUGUGUGUGCCACCAUGUUCAUCUCUAGUUGUGAAUUCUUUUAACUUUUGUUUAUCAUGUAAAGUUUUUAUUUCAUCAUCAGAUCUGAAGCUUAGUUUUCUGGGUAUAGUAUUCUUGAUAGGUAUCCAUUUUCUUUCAGAGCUUGGUAUGUAUUAUUUCAAGACCUCCUAGCUUUGAGCAUGUGGGUUGAGAUAGCAGCUGAGAUCUGAGCUGAGAUCCAUAUCAUUUCUCUCUAAACAUAAUUUGACCUUUUUCUCUGGUAGCCUUUAAAAUUCUAUCAUUGUUCUGUAUGUUAGGCACCUUGUUUGGGUCUAUUGUAACUUUAUAAAUUUGGGGUCUUAUAAGCCUCCUGUAUUUGAUUUUCCAUUUCAUUCUUUAGGUUUGGGAAUUUUUCUGAUAUUAUUACAUUGAAAGGUUGUUCAUUCCUUUGGUUGGUAUUUCUGUGCCUUCACCUAUCCUGAUAAAUCUUAAAUUUAAUCUUCUAAUGUUUUCCCAUAUUUCUUAGCAAUUCUGUUAGUGGUGUCUUAACAUCUUUUCUCCCUGGUCAGCUUUAUUUAUAUAUUAUAUAUUUUGUUUUCAUUGCCUGAAACUUUGUUUUCUAAGUUGUCUAGUCUUUUGGCGAUACUUUCCAUUGAAUUUUUAGUUUGGUUUAUUGAUUCCUUUGUUUUGAGGAUUUCUUCUUGAUUUCUUUUCAGAAUCUCUCUUUAUUGAAGGGAUUUUUCACUCACUGCCUUCUCAUAAUCUUAAUGUUAUCUUUUGCAGAGCAGAAGAUUUAAAGACCAGCUUACCAAUUAUUUCUUACAUGGAUUGUGCCUUUAAUGCAUCUAAAAAUCAUUACUAUUCCCAGGAUUACCUAGGUUUUUUUCCCGUUAUCUUCCAAGAAUUUUAAAGUUUCAGACUUUACAUGUAGACCUAUGAUCCAUUUUAAGUUAAUUUUUGUGAAGGAUAUAAGAUCUUUGCCUUCCUUCCUUCCUUCCUUAGGUACCAUUUGUUGAAAAGAUUGCCUUUGUUCCAUUAUAUUGCCUUUGCUCCUUUUGUCAAAGAUCUAUUGACUGUAUUUAUAUGGACUUACCUCUGUGUUUUCUGUUGUUCCAUUGAUUUAUUUGUCUAUUCUUUUGCCAAUACCACAUUGUCUUAAUAUUGUACCUAUAUGGUAACUCUUGAAGUCUGGUAGUGUCAGUCAUCCAACUUUAUUCUUUAAUAUUGCGUUAGCUAUUUUUUAUCUUGUCUUUCUUUAUAUGAAGUUUAGAAUAAGUGUGUUGGUAUCCACAAAUAAUUUGCUGUGUUUUUGAUUAGCAUUGCAUUGAAUUUAUUCGUCAAAUUGGGAAGAACUAACAUCUUGACAGUGUAAAGUCUUCUCAUUCAUGAAUGUGGAAUAUCUAUUUUUUCUUUGUUUUCUAUCAUUGCAGUUUUGUAGUUUUCUUCAUAUAGAUCUUGUGCUUAUUUUCUUAGGCAUAGACCUACUCUAACUUCCCCCCUUCUUUUUUUACUUUUGUAAAACUUUGUUUUUGUGCUAAUGUGAAUGGUAUUGUGCUUUUUAUUUCAAAUUCCUCUUGCUCUUGGCUGGUAGAUAGGAAUGCAAUUAAUCUUGUAUUCUGCAACCAUGGUAUAAUUAUAUAUCAGUUCCAGGGGAUUUUUGUCAUUUUCUUUUGAUUUCCUACAUAGCCAAUUGUGUCAUCUCUGAGCAAAAAGGUUUGUUUUUCCUUCUAACCCUUAUAUUUUUUCUUGCCACAUUGCAGUAGCUAGGAGUUCCAAUAUGAUGUUGAAAAAGAAGAGUGAAAAGAGACAUCCUUGCUUUGUUUUUAAUCUAAUUUUAUAUUUUCAUUCUUUUAUUUUUAUUCAUACAACUUAUUUUUUACUUUUCAACUUUUUUAUAUCAUUGAUUUUAUUUUUUUAAAUACAUGACAGCAAAAUGCAUUACAAUUCUUAUUACACAUAUAUAGAGCACAAUUUUUCAUAUCUUUGUAUAUAAAGUGUGUUCACACCAAUUCAUGUAUUUAUACAUGUACUUUGUUUUGGGGGUUUUUUGGCAUUACAAUUCUUAUUACACAUAUAUACCACAAUUUUUCAUAUCUCUGUUUGCAUGUGAAGUAGGUUGACACCCAAUUUGUGUCUUCAUAUAUGUACUUUGGAUAAUGAUGUCCAUUACAUUCCACCAUCCUUGCUAAUUCCCUGCCUCAUCCCUUCCCCUUCCACCCCUCUUCCCUAUCUGUAAUUCAUCUAUUCCUCCCAUGCUCCCCCUCCCUACACCACUAUGAGUCAGCCUCCUUAUAUCAGAGAAAACAUUCGGCCUUUACCUCACACUACAUCUCAAAGCCCUAGAAAAAGAAGAACAAAUCAGCAGCAAAACAGUAGAAGGCAAGAAAUAAUUAAUUAUCAGAACUCCCUGUCUUGUAGGCAUCUCUUUAGACAAACCAAUUAUAACUAACUAUUUUCAAUAGAUCUUUUAGGUACACCUAUUAUAUGUCAACCACUAAUUAUUAUUAUUAUUAGUAGUAGUAGCAGUAGUAGUAGUAGUAGUAAUAGUAAUAAUAAUAUUACUGUAGUGAAUUAGAUCUGAUUCUGUCUUCAAGGAGCUUAUAGUCAUACAAUUAGUAUUCAAUCAAACUAUAUCAAAGGCUCCACUAUCUCUAUCUGUGUUUUUCCCAGGCAUCAGGUUUGAUUAGGUGUGAUAAAAUAAGAAGUCAAAAUUGAAUCAUUCCUUUGAAGUUUGGAAUCAAUACAAGUCCUUAAAAAAAUUGUAAAAUAGUCAAAGAAUUUCUUGCCUGAGGCUCCUGAUUUUCCUUUCUAUAUUAUUUCUCUUAGGCAUGAGUUCUUGUCCAUCUUAGAUAUCCAGUGUGCUCUUUUUCUUCCUAUAAUUUGCCCUUCCCAUAUAAAUCACUUUUUAGGGAAAGACAUUAAAAAUAUAUUUCAUUCUAAGUAGUAAAUGCUUAAGAUUUAACUGUAACAUAUUUCUCUGUCAAGGACAUUUAUACCUCAACACUUGAAAAGGAACCUGAAACUACCACAGUAAAUAUCUGUAGUGCUUAUUUGUGGUGCUAUUUAUUGAGCAGGGAGAAAUUUGUGGAUGAGUGGAAUAUUCAGUGCUUUUCAAGUUAAUCAUACCAUACCUAAUGGUCAUCUACUCAACCAACAAGGCAGGACAGGACUAGCCAACAUUUCUGCUAGUGUCUUCUAGUCAGGAAGCACAGAUAUUUAUAAUACUUGGUUAAAGAAAAGUACUUUGAAGUGUUGUCAUAAAUGUGAAGUAUUUGCCAUUGGCAUUGAAGAGAACUGUUCAUCAUUAAAGAUAAUCUGAAUAAAUAUUCCUUCAACCCACUUCAAGGUUUUUUCCCUGUUCUUAAUGUUUUAGUUAUUAUAAACAAAUUAUUAAGUUACUGAAAUAAUGAAGUAAAUCUAUCUGUGCAUCUAGGUCUUCAUAGAACUCUAAGUAUUAGAGGUGUCCAAAUAUAAAAACAUCACUUGCUUUAAAUAUAAAGUUUAGUUUUUCCUUAUGUUUUUCUGUUUUUAAUAAAAGCAUAUGGAAAAUACUAAAUAGGAAUCUUUUCUAUUUCUUUAAGCAUAGUACUAUCAGUUUUAAGCACAAAUCCCAUAUGAACUCCCAGUUCUGGCAGCAGACUGCCUUCUAAUGUGGUAGCAAGAGAGUUAGAGUGUUUGUUGAUUCAGCUGUAAACUCCCCUAGGCUACUGAGAUUGCCAAGUAUUUGAAUUUUGGAUGAUGUUCCUAGUAAGCGAGGCCAAUUGUUUAUCAAAAAAGUGAUUCAACAGCACUAAUCACAGAAAUGCCAGAAGUGGCCAAGCAAUGGGUCCUCUUUGUCCAUCAGGGUGGUCUUCAUUAGAGACAAAGACUGAAGCUAGUUUGGAGAGUUGGUUCAUAUCAAAUAAAAGCAUGCUUCUAAAUGUCCAUGUUAGCACUUUAGAGGACUUAAUGGGAAUAUGCCAACCUGUGGCUAGCUGUUAGCUUAUUAGAACUUAGUGUUAAUGGAUUCCUUUUACCUAAGCAGAUUACUUCUUUGUUAUCUUAUAUGAGUUGGAUUUCAUUGAGUAAUUUUGUGUUUUCAGUUGUCACUCAAAAAAUGGUGCUAAAAGUAUGUGUGAUUAAAUCAACUGGUAAAAAAUUAUUUAUUGUGUUCCUAUUGUGUGCAAACUGUGCCCAGUAAAAUUGUAGAAUAUAUUUAAAAAUAAAAUAUUAUCCAUAAUUUAAGGAAAUGAAUAGUCUAGUUGGGAAACACAAAGUAUAUGUAUAAAGAAAAUAGAUAUCUAACAGCAUACAUAUAUGAAUGUGAAGAUAUCAUGUGAGAAGUAAGUAAUUAUUAUAUAGUUCAGUGAUAGGAGAGAGAUUAAUGUAAAAUGAAAGGAUUAAAAAAGAAUUUCCAGGGGAAAAAAUGGACCUUGAGUUAUAUUGUUUGUGAAGAAAUGGAUGGUAAAGAAGAGGAAAUUCCAAGCAGGGUAAAUCACAUGAGCAAAGCAUUAAAGAAUCACAUGAUUAUCUCAAUAGAUGCAGAGAAAGCAUUUGACAAAAUACAGCAUCCAUUCAGAUUGUGACACUGAAAAACUAUUAGAGAAGGAACAAGGAACAUACCUCAACAUUGUAAAAGCUAUAUAUGAGAAACCCAAGGCCAACAUCAUUUUAAAUGGAGAGAAUAUAAAAGCAUUCCCUCAAAAAUGCAAAUCAAAACUACUCUAAGAUAUCAUCUCACUCCAGUCAGAAUGGUAGCUAUUAUGAAGACAAACAACAAUAAGUGUUGGUGAGGAUGUGGGGAAAAACUCAUAACAUUGCUGGUGGGACUGCAAAUUGGUGCAGCCAAUAUGGAAAGCAGUAUGGAGAUUCCUUGGAAAAUUGGGAAUGGAACCACCAUUUGACCCAACUAUCCUUCUCCUCGGACUAUACCCAAAGGGCUUAAAAACAGAAUACUACAGGGACACAGCCACAUCAAUGUUUAUAGCAGCCCAAUUCCCAGUAGCUAAACUGUGGAACCAACCUAGGUGCCCUUCAGUGGAUGAAUGGAUUUUUCAAAUGUGGCAUAUAUACACAAUGGAAUAUUACUCAGCAAUAAAAGAGAAUAAAGUCAUGGCAUUUGCAGGUAAAUGGAUGGCACUGGAAAAGAUAAUGCUAAGUGAAGUUAGCCAAUCCCAAAAAAACAAAAUGCUGAGUGAUUUCUCUUAUAUAAGGAGGCUGACUCAUAAUGGGGUAGGGAGAGACAGCAUGGGAGGAAUAGACAAACUCUAGAUAGAGCAGAGGGGUGAGAGGGAAAGGAAGGGGGCAGGGGGUUAGCAAUGAUGGUGGAAUGUGAUAGACAUCAUUAUCCAAAGUACAUGUAUGAAGACAUGAAUUGGUGUGAACAUACUUUAUAUACAGAGAUAUGAAAUGUUGUGCUGUAUAUGUGUAAUAAGAAUUGUAAUGCAUCCCAAUAUCAUGUAUUUAAAAAAUAAAAUCAAUUAAAUUUUUAAAAAUUAAAUAAAUCAGUUCUUUUCACUUUCAAAAAAGAAAAAAAAUCAAGGAUGCACACUUUGACAACUUCUGUUCAACAUAGUCCUUGAAACCCUAGCCAGAGCAAUUAGAUAAAAGAAAGAAAUUGAAGGGCUAUGAAUAGGAAAAGAAGAGCUCAGGCUAUCUCUAUUUGCUGAUAACAUGAUCCUAUAUUUAGAAGACCCCCCAAAAAAACUCCACCAGUAAAUUUCUAGAACUCAUAAAUGAAUUCAGCAAAGUAGCAAGAAGCUAAGAUUUCAUCUCACUCCAGUCAGAAUGGCAGCUAUUAAGAACACAAACAACAAUAAGUGUUGGCAAGGAUGUGGGAGAAAAGGCACACUCAUACAUUUCUGGUGGGAUUGCAAAUUUGUGCAGCCAAUAUGGCAGUAUGGAGAUUCCUAGGAAAACUGAGAAUGGAACCAUCAGUUGGCCCAGCUAUCCCACUCCUUGGUCUAUACCCAAAGGACUUAAAAACAGCAUACUAUGGGGACACAGUCACAUCAAUGUUUAUAGCAGCACAAUUCACAAUAGCUAAACUGUGGAACCAACCUAGAUGCCCUUCAGUAGAUGAAUGGAUGAAGAAAAUGUGGUAUAUAUACACAAUGGAAUAUUAUUCAGCAUUAAAAGGGAAUAAAAUCAUGGCAUUUUCAGGUAAAUGGAAGGAGUUGGAGAAUAUAAUGCUAAGUGAAGUUAGCCAAUCCCAUAAAACCAAAUGCCAAAUGUUUUCUCUGAUUUCAGGAGGUUGAUCAUAAUGGGACUGGGAGGAUGGGUAUGGGAGGAUUAUAUGAACUUUAGAUAGGGCAAAGGGGCGGAAGGGGAAAGAGAGGUGAUAUGGGGGUAGGAAAGAUGGUGGAAUGAGAUGGACAUCAUUUCCCUAAGUACAUGUUUGAAGACAUGAAUGGUGUGACUCUACUUUGUAUACAACCAGAGAUAUGAAGAGUUGUGCUCUAUAUGUGUAAUAUGCAUUACAAUGCAUUCUGCUGUCAUAUAUAUCAAAUAAAAAUUUUUUAAAAGAUUAUUUUUAAAAAAGGAGUAGGAAGCAAAAUGAAUACCACUAAGUCAAUUGCAUUCCUAUACUCCAAUGAUGAAUCAGCUGAAGGACAAAUUAGGAAAACCAUCCCAUUCACAGUAGCCUCAAAAAAAAAAAUACUUAGGGAUCAGUCUAACAUAAGAGGUGCAGGAUCUCUACAAUGAAAACUACAAAAUAAUAAAGAAAGAAAUUGAAGAAGACCUUAGAAGAUGGAAAAACCUCCCGUGUUCUUGGAUAGGCAGAAUUAAUAUUGUCAAAAUGGCCAUAUUACCAAAAGUGCUACACAGAUUCAGUGCAGUUCCCAUCAAAAUCCCAAUGAUGUUCUUCAUAGAAAUAGGAAAAUCAGUCAUGAAAUUUAUCUGUAAAACAAGUGGCCCAGAAUAUCUAAAGCAAUCCUUACUGAGAAAAGCAAAGCAGGUAGCAUCAUAAUACCAGACCUUAAAUUAUACUACAGAGGCAUAGUAACAAAAAUAGUAUGAUAGUGGCACUAAAAUAAGCAAGAAGACCAGUGUAACAGAAUAAAAGACAGACAAAUCUACAACAAUACAGUUACCUUGUACUAGACAAACACACCAGAAAUACACUGGAGAAAAGGUAGCCUCUUCAACAAAUGGUGCUAGGGAAACUGGAAAUCCACAUACAGCAAAAUGGAAUUAAACCCCUGUUUCUCAUCGUGCACAAAAAUCAACUCUUAAUUGGAUCAAAGAUCUAGGAAUUAGACCAGAAGCCCUAGUAGAAGAAAAGAUAAACCCAACACUUCAACAGGAACUGACUUCCUGAACAAGACUCCUAAAGCACAGAAAUAAAAUAAAAAAUCAAUAAAUAAGAUGACAUUAAUCUAUAAAGCUUAUUCACAGCAAAAGAAACAAUCAAGAUCAUGAAGAGAACCAACAUAAAUGAAGAAAAUCUUUGCACCUGCACCUCAGAUAGGACAUUAAUUUCUAGGAUAUAUAAAAAAUAUUUAGAAAAAACUUAAUGCCAAAAAACAAAAACAAAUAACAAAUAACUCAAUAAAUGGGCAAAGGAACCAAACAGACCCUUCUCAAAAGAAGAAAUACAAUUAAUCAACAUAUCAAAAAAGUGUUCAACAUCUCUAGGAAUUAGAGAAAUGCAAAUUAAAACCACACUAAGAUUCCAUCUCACUGCAGUCAGAAUGGUAAUUAUUGAGAAUGUGUGUAAUUACAAAUGUUGGCAAGGAUGUUAGGAAAAAGGAACUCAUACAUUGUUGGUGGGACUACAAAUUGGUACAACCCCUCUGGAAAGCUGUAUUGAGACCCUUCCAGAAACUAGGAAUGGAACCACCAUCUGACCCAGUUAUCCCACUCCUCGGCCUAUAUUCAACAGAUUUAAGAUCAGCCUAAUACACUGACAUAGCCACAUCAAUGUUUAUAGCAGCACAAUUCACAAUAGCCAAACUAUGGAACCAACCUAUGGUUGCCCUCUAACAGAUGAAUGGAUAAAUAAACUGUGAUAUAUUUACACAAUGGAAUAUUACUCAGCCAUAAAGAAGAAUGACUUUAUAUCUUUUGCCAGUAAAUAAGUGAAUCUGGAAAAUAUCACGCUAAGUGAAAUAAGCUGAACCCCAAAUGCCAAAGGUCAAAUAUUUUUGCUGAUAUGUGGAAGCUAAACCAUAAUAAAGGCAGUGGGUGGGUAAGAAGUUGUUCAGUAGAUUUGAAAAAGGGGAAUGAAAGGAAGGGAGGGGGCACAGGAAUAGGAAAGACAGUAAAAUAAACCUAACCUAAUUUUCCUAUGUACACUAUGAAAAUACCUAAGUGAAUCCCACCAUAGUGCCAACCCACAAAAAUGGGAUCCUAAUUUGAGUAAGAUAUAUCCCAUGAUUAUAUAAUUUUAUCAAGAUGGAUUCACUGUCAUUAACUAAGAAGAACCUAUACAUUUGUUUUCAAAGGUAGAUAGUGAUUACAUACCAUCUCCUCAUAGCAAUAAAAUUUUGCUUUAUUAAUCAACUAACUUCCCACGCUAUGCCAAAAACAUACACAGAAAAUGAUGAAAUCUUUGAGAUAAAGAGUCUUCAGAAUAUACAUUCCAUGAAGCUAGAAAUUUUAUUGUUGUUGCUGUUGUUACCUAAUGUAUAUUCAGUACCAAGAAUGGUGCCUGACAUAACUCUGUUGAAUGAGUAAACCGAUGGAUAUUCUUUUUAUUUAUUUAUUUAUUUUUGGUACUGGGGAUUGAACUCAAGGACAUUCAACCACUGAGGCCACAUCCCCACCCCUGUUUUGUAGUUUAUUUAGAGACAGGGUCACACUGAGUGAGCUUUGAACGCCAUCUUCCUGCCUCAGCUUCCUGAGCUGCUGGGAUUACAGGCAUGCGCCACUUCCCUGGAUGGAUAUUAUUUAAUUAAGACAUUCAGAAGAAUUCUGAAUAAGUUGGAUAGAUAGAUAUUGAGUACCUAAAAUUAUAUUGAUCCAAACACAUGUAUCAGAUGAUGACCAUCCUGUUACCUCCAAAACAAUUCUAAAUAAAAAAAAAAGUUCAAUGAAUAAAUUCUACGUUUUCUCUUAAAGAUCUUCAAAUCAUUACAAACUGUUAUCUCUAAAAGAGAAUGAUUGUCUAAAAUACCAAAUACCAAUUACCUCUUCUAAAAAUUUUAUUGAACUAUAAUUGACAUCUAACAAUUGCAUAUAUUUAAAUUAUUCAAAUUAAUAAUAAUUUGAUAAUUUUUGACAUGUAUAAAUUGUGAAACCAUCACCAGAAUCAAGAUAGUUCACGCAUCCAUCAAAUCCCCAAAGUUCCUUGUUCACCAUUAUAAUCCUCAUUUCUAUCCUUUCUUCUCACUUCCUCCUCAGGCUAUCAUGAGAGGUCUGCUUUUUUUGUCAUACAAAUUAAUUUUAAAAUUAAAUGCUUAUUAUAGUUUUGUGUGGCUUUUAGAAGAAUUAAUGUAGACUUUCCAAUUGACUUGUGGGUUCCUUUAAGAAUGAUUUCAAAAAUACUGUGAAAACUAUUUAAGAGUCUUUAUUUGGAACAGAGAAUAUAUGUUGUUAUCAUAGGAAUUUUAGUGCCUUUGUUGUUCUGAGGAUUUUCUCUGAUGAGUUUUUAGGAUGCUACACAUAUGGAAUUCAGCUGUGCUAUAUUUUCUGCUCAAGUAUAUGGAAUUACUAAAGGGAAAAUAUAUGAAUAGGAAUAUCUGCAAAAUUUUUCAACACUAUCAUAAUAAAAACAAUCUGUUUUUGAUGACUCUUUAGAUCUGAAACAGCAAAAGAGAAUGAAAGAGAGCCAGAUACCUAGAUGAAUUCUUUUGUUUUUUUAAUGCAUUCAUUUUUCCAAAAGCUCAUAUUUUCUCCCUAUGGUUUUCCCAAUAAACAAAACAUCUCCUUCAUUUGCAUGCUUCCUAUGCUAAAGUUUAGUUUCUAUAGUUAACUUGGAAAGUGAAUUUAUUACUUUGGCCCUUUUAAGUAUUUUUGUUAGCAUUUUGGAUGGCUUAUUCUCACAUAGAAAAGUUAAUUUUAAUCUUUUUUUUUAAUUACAUUCCUGCUUGGAAUUCCCAUAUUGCUGAUUUGAUGUGUAUUUCCACAAAUGCUAGGGACCAAAAUCUUAUGACUAUGCUGGAUCCCUAUCUCAAAUCCAAAUUCUCCCCUUAAAGAACCUCUCUUUCUUUGGAUACAUUCUUUCUUGUUUGAGUAUGUUAAAUUUCAGUUCUAUAGAACUUAUAAUAAUUUUGUGUGGGUUUUUCAGACAAAGGAUAACUUUUGAAAAUGCAUAAGUAAAAAUAUAAUUACUCAAAUAGAAUACAUUUAUAAAUUUGGCCAUUAAUUUAGGUCAUUGGAUAUUUAUUUAAUUUACUAUAUACUCAAUACCAGACUAGGCUUUUUUUACUUUUCCCUUUAGGAAUUCAUAAUUUACAUAUUGGUUUUAUCUUUCUAUGGCUAUUUUUUCCAACAGCUAUAUUUAUCUUUACUUUGUUCAGACUUACAAACUACUCAAGGAAUAAGUUUAAGCCAAAUCAUACUGUGUUUUGUGUAUUUCAAGUACAAAAGACAUAAAAGCCAAUGAGAAUUGGAAAUUUCCAUAAGUUUUAAAUGACCUAAGGGUUAUCUAUAACAAUAGAAUAUUUUAAAGCUACCUUACAAAAUAUCAGAAAAGUUUGCAUUAUCCAAAAUAUGUACUUUAUUUUUAAGCUGUUAUUGUAAUUUAACAUGCUGUUUCCUCCAAAACAAUACAAAAUCUGAGCUUCACUAAUUUUAUCUGUGGGCUAAUUCAAUGAAUAAAAUCUUUUUUCUCUCUAAAAGUCUUCAUAUUAUUAUAAACUAUUGCCUACCACAAGCAAGUCGUUAUCUUGAUCACCAGUAUCAAUUAGCUUUUGUGUUUUUUACAGGUUUUUUUUGUAGGUAUAAUUAACAUAAAAUAAGCUGCACCUGCACUAUUUAAAUUGUAUAAUUGGAUAAUUUUUCACAUAUGUAUAACCUGUGAACCAUUAUCAAAUCAAGAUAAUGAGCUUUUCUGUCAAACCCAACAAUUUCAUUAUUCACCUUUUAUAAUCCCUUCCUUCUGUGCCUCCUGCUCCUUCCUUUCCAGGCUACCUCUGAUAUGUUUAUGUCACUAUAGAUUAAUUUGUCUUUUCUAAGGAAAUCUUUAUAUAGACGUAUUCAUAUAGUAUGUACUUUUGGGGUGGCAGUUGGUUUCUGGCUUCACCACUUAACAUAAACAUUUUUAGAUUCAUGCAAGUUGUUUCAUUUUAUGCAUAUACCUUCAUUAGUUUACUCAUUGUAUUUACUUAUUUGUUGAUUGUUUAUCCAUUUACUAUUUUAACUGCAAAGACUAUAUAUUUCAAUAGAAAACAGAAACCUUAUUGCUCCUAUAGGAAAACUACUAACGUGUUCAAUGUAUGCAAUAAAGUGUCUUAUAUUAAUUCUGUUAGGAUGCUAACUUUUGAGCUUUCUUAUUUACUUCCAAAUAAGAAAGACAAUAUUUUACUUUUAUGAUUUCCUAGGAAACUAAUGAACUUUGCUAGUGCUUUGGUUCCCAGGUUUUGCUAUAAAAAAUGCAUGUGAAUUAUUCUCCAGCCUUUAGUGAUUAGAAAAUAAUAAAAACUUUUGUUUUUACUGGAGAGAAUGCUGAAUCACUCUUAGUGCUACAAACAGAUGUGAAAGGCCUGAAAAUAGAAGACACAUUUGUAUUUAUUAUUUUUAAAGCUACUUCAUUUUUCUGCUUCUUGGUAAAAAUUGGUGGUCACACUAUUUCUACUAAAAAGACACCAGAAGUCAGGUUGUUCUUCCUUUUUCUCACUAACCCAUAAUAUUUUCAAUUGUGAUAUGAUGACUUAGUUAAGAUACUGAAGUAUGGUGUGGGCGAAAAUGUUUUGACUUGUCAACAUCAAUGUUAUUUUGAAUUUAAAAAAUGAAUUAAAGCAUCUUUAUUAGAUUUUUGUUUUGAUUUUUGUUUUUAUUUUUCUUAUAUAUUUGAUGCCAACAUAAUUUUUAAAGUAGAAAGUGUAGAUUCUAAUAUUAUAUUUUCUACUUUUUAAUCUGUAAACUUUCUGAAAUUUUGUUGCUUUGCAAAGAUGCCCAUGUCCUGUAGUUUGAUUUACAGUUUGAGAACUAGAUUUAAGCAUUAAAAAAGUUUCCUUGGUAGAUAUGUUAUCAUUAAAGUUGAUCGAGUUAACUCUAGUUUUUAUACUUUAAAAUGUCUUAAAGUCAAGCUUUCUACUCAGAAAUAACUCAGGUAUGAAUUUUUACAAUAAUGAAAAAGUUCUUUGGCCAAGUUUCUAAGCUAUCCUGUGUACAAAGGUAAUGUGUUUCUGAGCAUUUCAAUAUAGUUUUAAUUUUAAAAUAUUUAACUUACUUGACUGUAAUAUGAGAUCAGAUUUAUUGACAUCUUUUAUCUUGUUCUCUUUUUUCUUUGGAAUUUUAUUUGUUUUUAAUAUUCCUUUACUAAUAUUUUAACUCACUAAAGGAUGUGACUCAGUGGUAAAGUGUUUGCCUAUCGUGCACAAAGCCAUUGGUUCAAUCUCCAACGUGGCAAAUCAAAAUAAGGAGGAAAGAUUCACACAUAUAUUAAAUCUAUUAAAUCACCUUAGUAAUUUUUCUUACUGUUUUAUUGAGCUGGAUGUGGUGACACAUGCCUAUAAUCCCAGAAAAUUGCAAAGCUGAGGCAAGAGGAUGGCAAGUUCAAAGGAUUCAGCAACUUAGUGAGGCCCUAAGCAACUUAGUGAGACCUUGUCUUAAAAUAAAAAUAAAAAGGCCUGAGAAUGUUGCUCAGUGGUUAAGCACCACUGGAUUCAAUCCCUGGUACCAAAAUAUAUAAAUAAAAUUUUUAAAAGCCCACAGAGAACUCUAUGAAACAUGUAUAUCGCAUAUAAUUAUAAGACAAAUACCCUGGUAAGUACCACAAAGGUAGAACUGCCAGUUAAUCCAGCCAACCACAAGUUCAUCUCUCUUACUCAAAUUAAGCAGUUCCUCACUGUUUUUCUUUCAUAUUCUAUUACUUAAGUAUGCAUCCUUAAAAAUAAUUGUUUAGGCAUGUGUGUUUUAUUUUCUAAAUGUUUUGUUUCAGUCAGCUAUUUCAUAACUAUGACUAAAAGACACAACCAGAACAACUGUAAAGGAGGAAAAGUUUAUUUGAGGGCUCACAGCUUCAGAGGUCUUAGUCCAUUGACAGCAGGCUCCAUUCCUCAGGCCCCAAGGUGAGGCUGAACAUCAUGGCAGAAGAGUGUGGCAGAGGGAAGUGGCUCACAUGAUGAUCCGAAAGCUGAGAGAGAGACUCCACUUGCCAGAUACAAAUAUAUACCCCCAAGUCACACCCCCAGUGCUCCACCUCCUACAACCACACCCUACUUUCGGUUACCAUUCAAUUAAUCCCAUCAGGUGAUUAAUUAAUUAAUUGGGUUAAGGCUCUUGUAACCCAAUCAUUUCUUGUCUGAAUCUUCUUGUGUUGUCUCACAUGUGAGUUUUUGGGGGACACCACACAUCCAAACCAUCACAUCUUUCAAUCUACCAAUUCUCCCCCAUUCCAAAUUUUCCCCUUAAAAUUUAGUUGUUGAAGCUCCCCCAUCACUUGGCCUAUAAAGUUUUGCUUAGUCUAAUUUUGUUACGGACUCAUGGUGUAAUUCUGAUAAUUCUUUGUCCUGUGUUUUUCUUGAAAAUUGGUUGUCAUAUUACAGAGUCCUGACCAUAUUCAUGUUUGUUUGUUUCUUUGUUUUGGCAAGAAAAUGGGUGAUAGUGUGUUCUUUCAUCAAGUAGCACAUAAUGUCUAGUAUCUCUCUUUUCUGUGUGUGUGAUGUUAGUAACAGUUUAAACUCAGUGCCAAAUCCAUUACAUCAUUUGCAGGAUUGCAAAAUGAAUGGUUUUUUAAAACUCUAUUAUUUUUUAUUUAUUGGCUGAAAUAUAUUUUUAUCUAUUAUUUGGAUAAUAAAGGUAAAGUAUAUAUAGGAAAGGAAAAAUAAAUGCUUGGUGGUUCACCUUUUUUUAAACUACAUUUCCAGAUAGAGUUUUCUCCCUUUCAUCUUUAUACACGGGAAGUUUUUGUUGUUGUAUUUUGACAACAGGCUUCCUUACUUCCUUGUAUUAUGAUGUGACAAGGUGUUCUAGGAUCAUCUGGAAAAUGGACAAGCUAUGAAUUUUUCCAUGGUGAUGCUGUGAACCAGGGUCUGAACUGGUUGUAAACUAGUACUCAGGGAUCAAAAGUGGCAAGCAGACAUGUUGUCUUCUAUUUCCAAAGAGGUCAGUCAGUCAACAGCAGCAAAUUUCUGCCAGAUUUUGUCCUAGUUGGUGGGAAUAGAGUUGUGAAUGGUAUAUUGUACUCGAGCAGUUUACAACCUGAUAAGGAAAAUAAAAUAGGCCAAAACCCCAGGUUAAGUGCUUAUGUUGGACUUGAGAAUUGUUUGUGAGUUCUUAGGGAGUAAAGAAGUAUUUAAAGAUGAAGUAUAGCUUUUUGGCUUGGAAAUUUGUGGAUAAGGGCAAAGAGGAAAUGCAGAAUGAGAGAGGAACAUACUGGAGAAGAUACUCUGUUCAAAUUUGACAACUCACUUACAAUAGAAACUAGAGCAGAGGUGUCUUGAUACAAGUUGAUGGCGAUUUUCCCCCUUAAAUAAAGCAACGAAGGGUGUGUUCAAGAGAAAGUGAUUAGUGAAGCAAUCAACAAGUCUAUAUUAAGGAUAUCCAUAAUAACUGUUCCAAAAUUUCUAGAAAUCUAAUCUGGUGCUUAGUAUUUGAGGUACCACUACCUUUUCUUUUGUCAAAAGUAUCCCUGACUUUACUUUUUCUCCACAGAAUCCAAGUUUUAAAUCAGGAUUUUAAUCUGUCAAAGCAUAUCUGUUUUAAUCCAGUCUUGAGGAAUAAGCAUCACUUUUUAAAUUUGUUUUUCUUUUUUUAAAAAAAUUUUAUUAUUGGUUGUUCAAAACAUUACAUAGUUCUUGGCAUAUCAUAUUUCAUACAUUUGAUUCAAGUGGGUUAUGAACUCCCAUUUUUACCCCGUAUACAGAUUGCAGAAUCACAUCGGUUACACAUCCACUGUUUUACAUAUUGCCAUACUAGUGUCUGAUGUGUUCUGCUGCCUUUCCUAUCCUCUACUAUCCCCCCUUCCCUCCCCUCCCCUGAACUAGUUUUGCUGUCCCAUCUUACUUGUUGGGUUUUUACCCCCAUCACAUUUAUCCCUUAACUAAGCUACCUAUUCUGGCUGACAUUAAUAUUUUAUCUUCAGCCUUCUUUGCUUUUAAAGUUGCUGGCAUCCAUGAGGCACUGGAUUCCAUCCUCAGCAACACAUAAAAAUAAAUAAAGUACAUAGUAUCUCCAUGUACAACUAAAGAAAAAAGAGUUGUAUUUGAUUGUUGCAUUUUCCUUACUUUUUCCCCUUUUGUUCAUGUCAAUGAGAAACACUGAAACAACUGUGUGAUAAAAUCAAUACAAAUGAAACCAUAAUUAUUAGCUUAUCAUUAUUGAAAUUAAUCAUAGUGUAUCAAAUUUUGAUUCAAUACUUCAGUAUGAAUUUUAAUCUACCUAUUUUAGAGUAACAUCCUAGGACUUUGCUUAGAUUUUAUUAGCAUUAUGAUUCGCUUCUGUUUCUGGAAAUAAUUUUAGAUUGAUAGUAUUAUUUCCAAAAAAGUAAAAAUGUUAUUCUUGUGCAAUAUGAGCAUAAGUCAAAGAUUUUGUUAUCAAUUGAUGAUGAAACCAGUAAGACACUGAGUUCAAAUUGCAUUUUGGGAGCUGAGUAUUUAUAGACAAUUAAAUAUGGGAUGUUACAAUAAGAUAGUUAGAUACAAAAUUUACUAAUACCCUGUAUAUUAAGCCAUAUUGUUUGUUUUGAGUGUUGUUUUUUCGAACCAAACUAUCAAAAACUCUACACGUUCACAUAUAGUUAUUAUACAGUGAAUCUAACAUAAUAAAUUCAUCUAAUCCUCAGUGGCCCUGUUUUCUAUGGGGUGUUGAAAGGAUAUGACACAUUCCUUUUUUGCCUCACAUUCAAGUUGUUAAUAUUUUUUUAGUAAGAUUUCCAUUCUCUUACAUUGGAUCAAUGAAUUUUCUUUAGGUUUGAGGAUUGUUUGUUUAAUUGAUAAAGUAAGCUCUGUUUUAGUAUACUUUGUUUUAUAUUCCAAUGUUAAACAACUAUCUAAUGUGAUCUUUAAAAUAGUGAUCUUUUGAAGAGUAUAAGUUGCUUUAAGUGGGCAUGAAAGGAAAAGGAUGUUUUAUAUUCUUAAUAGAUUUAAAGUAAUUUGAUAUGGAAUAAACUCUAUUUUUAUGUCCUCUAGGGUUUUCCAGGAGAUAUUGGGGUUCCUGGACAAAAUGGCCCUGAAGGACCAAAGGUAAAAAAAAAAGUCUGAUAUGGAUAUCUAAUCUCAAUUCUCAAUGAAUGGGAAAAUGAAAAAGGAACUUAUGAAUAUCAGAACACUUAAGACACUUUUUGAUGUCAGGAUUCAGGUAACUGAAAAUGGUUUUCCUGAUUUGAUAUAGAAUCAGUUAUUAUUAGGAUAAUGUUUUGACUCAUAUAACUCACUCAAAAAAUAUUUUGUUGAAGAUAUGGAAAAGCACAUAAGAAUUCUGAAAAGCCAUAGCAUAUGAAUAAUGAAUGAGAAUUUUCUGAUCAUUAAAAGUCUUUAGGGCCAAUAACAUAUAACUGAUUAAAAUAAAAGAAAACCUAUGGUAUCCUGGAACCUUUACAUAGCACAAAAGAGCUAAUGAAACAUAAUAAUCCAUAAUAUCCUUUGCUGUUAUUGUGUCAUAUACUAGGAAUUACCCAUAGAAAAUUUAAAUACUAAGCUUUGCACACAGGCUACCAUAAAAUCUGGGCAUUAUAAGCAAAUAUACAUUGUGAAUAAAGAUAUGAAAAAAUGAAUCCUGGAAGAGUGGCAAGUUAUGAAAUAUAGUUGGAGUGGAAGGUGUCAAUUGAGGGGAAGUGGGGAAGGAUAGGAGAAACUGGAAAAGAAAUUAGUAGCUGUGUUUGAUAAUGUAACUGUACUAUACUGUAUAAUGCAUACAGCAGUAAAUUUAUAGAAGUCAUUUAAUUUUUAUAGCAGCAUUAUUAUAUAUUACCCCAUUUACAAAUUAAUAAGUUAUUCACUCACAAUUAAAUAAAUAUCAAGUGGCAUACCCAGAAUUUUAACACGGAUCUGAUUGCCAAGUCUAAGCUAUAAACAGCUUAGCUUGGGAAUUAAAAUGUGGAGAACAUUCAUUAUCAUGUUGAAUAGUUUCUACUUUAUCCUAUGGGCAUCACAAAGUAAUCAAAUAUAUUUAAGUAGUAAAGUAUCCUACAUGGUUUAUUUUUUGAAAAUAUACCUCAUAUGUCAAUAAGGAGAGUGUUUUAAAGAUCGGGGUAGGGGAGGGGAGGGGGGAUAGUAGAGGAUAGGAAAGGCAGCAGAAUACAACAGACACUAGUAUGGCAAUAUGUAAAUCAAUGGAUGUGUAACUGAUGUGAUUCUGCAAUUUGUAUAUGGGGUAAAAAUGGGAGUUCAUAACCCACUUGAAUCAAAGUGUGAAAUAUGAUAUAUCAAGAACUAUGUAAUGUUUUGAACAACCAACAACAACAACAAAAAAAAAACCAACUGUCCAAAAAAAAAAUAAAUAAAGAUCGGAAAAACUGAAGGCAUGGACAUAAACUGUAAAAAGCUAGGCAAAAACUGAUAGAGCUCUGAAACAACAUUCAUUCAUUUAUCUAUUCAGCAAAUUUUGCUGAAUAUUUGCUAUCUCUUAUAUUUAAGAGAGCAAUUGUGCUAUACCCUAAGGCUACAAAAUGAAAAAUCUUCAUCCCUACUUUCAAGAAAUGAAAUCUAGAUACACAUAAAAGCCUUUAUAAUAUAAAAAUGAAUAGUGAAUACUAUAUAAUACAUAAUGCUUUGAGAGAAAAAGAUAUAACUUGAGCUGACAUUGAUGAACAAUUAAAAAUUUCCAAAGCAUCUAAAUGAGAUGUAUAGCAUUCAGGAAUAGGAAACUAGUGAAGCAAUGAAGAUAUAAUAUUUGGAAAAUAUUUAAACUAAAAGUUAUGCAUUGUUUAUAUGAAAUUAAAAUUUAACUGGGCAUUUGUAUUUUGUCUGAAAACACUAUGUGCCACUUACAAGGUUAUCCCUAUAGGCAACAAUUUUUCUUCCUGUCUUCAUUUAAGUAUCCUCUGCCUGUUCAUGUUCAACAUGUUUUGCAUCAACUUCUGUCCCAACUCCUGAACAACCUCAUGCCAUUAAUUAAAACUGCUAUCCCAAAUUCUCCUUUGACUCAAUAUUUCCCCUCUUGGAAAAACCAUUCCCACUACCAAUAUUGUAGUUUAGGCCCUUUUUAUUUUUCCCCCAGAAUUAACGUACCUCAGUUAUUCUCCUUUCCUGCAGACUGGCAUUUCUUUAAAUCUUUGGCCAAGCACUGAUGGAAUAAUCUUUGUAUAGAUCUGAUUAUAUUGCUCUUGUGCUUAAAUCCUUCAGUGAUCUCUAUAGUUUCUAGGUUAAGGCUUGUAUUUCUUUACUUUUAAUACAAGGGUCUUUAUGACCUAACCUUUUCUCUGUAACUCUGUAUUCACAUAAUCAUAUUUAUCAUCAGUGCUUUAAAAGCAUCACUUCAGCCAAACUAUUUAGAUGACCAGACCAUGCCAUACUUGUUUAAAUCUCACAGCUUUUUUCAUCUGAAUACCUCUCUGCCUUCCUUGCCCUUCUUCUUCUAAUAUCUAUACAUCACAUACUAUAUUAUACAGACAGCUUUCCUUGUUCCUCCCAAAUCUAAUUAAGAUCUUUCCUUGUAUUACUGAAAAAAGAAAUCAAGCACUUAUCUUCAUAUAUUAUACCUGUUGUGAUACUUAACUGUCUCUCUAUUAUACUAUAUUAAAGAAGAGUCUAGUGGAUUUUAUGUACAUCACAAUAACCAGAAAAAUAUGCAAAACACAGAAUGGGAACUCAAUUACUGUAGGUUGAUUGCUUGAAUGACUGUGGAUAAAAGCUAUUUUGGAAAUAGAAACAAGACAGCUUAGUAACUUAUUAAAUGAAGGUGAGAGAAGUAGUCAAAUGUAAAACUGAGGCUGAUUUAGGCUACUGAUGUCAUUGAACCUAAAAUAGGAAAGAAGUAGAAUGAUUCUGACAUAACUUUUCUAUGCACAUAUAUGAAUACACCACAGUGAAUCUCAGCAUCAUGUACAACCACAAGACUAGGAUCCUAUUUAGAAUAAGAUGUACUCCAUAUUUAUAUAAAUAUGUCAGAUUAUACUCUAUUGUCAUGUAUAACUAAAACAAACAAGUUUAAAAGGAGCUAAAAAGGGACUAUAGAAGGACUUUUUGGUUUGGAGGAUGAGGAAGACGAAAUUUUAUUCUAGGGGGUCUUAGUCUGAGGUAUCUAUAUGAAAUCUACACAGAAGUAAUUAACAGCUAGUAGUAAAGCAAGAUGAAAGUGCAAACAGUAGCAUAAAGAGAAGCUGAGGAAGAUAAUAUAGAUGGUGGGGUUGAGGUUUUUCAUGUUUGCCUUAACCCUUCACAUCAACAAACUUGGAACCUUGAAACAUAAUACAUAUAUAAAUAAUACAUAAUACAUAAUAAUAUAUACAUAAUACAUAUAUAAAUCCAUUUAUUUAUUCAUUUGUUCAAUAAUUAAUUCAUUUGACCUGCAUUUAGUUUUUCCUGUGUGUUAAGCCAAGUACUAAAUUUGAGAUUAUAAAGAUUUCUAUCUAAACUGGUCCCUGGAUGAGACAAAAAAAUUCAUUUUGUUAGAAGUGCUAUAAAAAAGAGUUGAUGACAUGCUGUGAGAGUCUCAAUAUGAGCAACAGAUUUUUGUUUCAGGAAAUUGGGAAAUACUUCAGGAGGAGUAAUUGUUCAACUUAAUGUCGAAGCAUGCAUAUUAUACUAGUUGAAAAACCAGAUAGCUUGCAAAAUUCUUUAAAGUUUAGAGAUUUUGUUUUGAAGUUUUGUCCAAAAAAAUGUCAGUAAACUAAAGAAAGCCAACUGAACUGUUUAUUUAAUAUGAUUACAAUAGUGAUCUUUAUAACUUCCUUCUCACUACUUCUGUUAUUCUUAAAAGUGAAAUGUUUAAAGUGAGUUAAAUGAUCUGAAAACUAGACGUUAUAUUGAACACUAAUAGUUGUAUUUCCAGUGCAUGAUGAUUUUGAUUUUCUCUUACAUUAUCUUAAUUUAUUCAACAGACAUGAACUUAUAGCACCAACAAUGUGAGACAAAUUAAUUUAUACUCAUCACUGAAUCUUAAAACAAUAUUUUAGAAAGUAUGAUUUUAUCUAAAGAACCAAAAAUUUUAAGGAAAGAAGAAUAUAAUCUUGUGUUCUAUAAGUUGAGAAAAAUCUAUUUUGGUCUAUUUCCCUGGUCCUUCCCAUUUGCCUUGAAUUUUUUUUUUCAGGAAAUAGAGGCAAACAUACUGACCCUGUUGACAUGAUGUGUUUCUUUAGCUGCAUAUACUAUGUCAUAUACGCAUCUCAAAACUUCCUUUAUUUUGAUAUAUAUGUCUUAUUUGGAAAGGGAAUAAUAUAAAUUACUAAAGGUCUGUCGAGCCUAUACCAUGUUGACAUCAAGAAAAUCAUGUGCUCUGUAUUAAAACAAAAUUACCAUCUUUGCAAAUUGGAUUCUUUCCAGAACCAUUUGACAGUUCAAGAAGCCUUUAUUUUUUCUUAAUUUUUCUGCCAGCUAACUAAAAAAUUCAAACUAGCAUUGGGAACUUAUGUUAAAUGUGGUUCUACUGACUGUAGAGUAGUAUGUGUAUGUAUAUUUGUAUAGAGAUACUAAACGUACUUCUGUUAAGUCUUCUUGAGAGCCCCCCAGUUUGGUAGUCUGCUUUCAGAAAUCACAAAGCAUUAGCAAAGCCACAUCCUUUUCUGCUUACUUCAGAAAAUAAGAGGACCUAAUAAAUAUCCUCUGUCUAGACAACAAAGGAAUAAUAUAUUUGUUGCUUUGAUGGUUUGUGUUUUUACUUUGGUUAUGGUAUUAGACAUGUCAAAACUGACUUAUUGUCUCUCAUAUAACAACCCCAAGUAAUUUCCAAAGAAGGCUUACUAUUUAUUUUGCAAAAUAUAUGAAAAUAGCUUUUACACUAUAUCCUUACAGCAUGCCAUGUGUUUAUCAGUGUGGAGGAAAGCUAACUUGAUAAUAGAAAGACGCAUAACAAGAUCACAUCAACUCAGUCCUGGAUAUUUACAUUCCAUCCCCUAAGUCAAGAUUUUAAUCACAGAUUUCUUAUAUUAACCAUUUUAUUCUCCAGGCAGCAUUUACUCAACUGAGAAGUAUUUAUUGAGUUUGUAUAACAGGCAAACAUUGUACUGUGUUACUGUUUGUUCUGUGUUAAGUAGUGACUUGAAAACAAGAUUAAGACAUGGUCUUCUCUGUACUAGGGAUUUAUAGUCAUCUGUAAACACAAGUCUGCCACAUGUGAAAAGUUAAAAAGUAUAAUAACUAGGCAACAUGAUAAGAGAGUAGUGAGGACUUCAAAGAAGAGAGUAGUCUCUAUAGCAAUUUUUCUGAAAUUGAGAUUUCAAUUUCAGAAAAUUGGAGAAAUUGAGAUUUAUUUAAUAUGAAGAAAUUGAGAUUUAAUUUGGAGGAAAUGAAUUUGGCCAAGUGGAGCCAAAAAGUAAGACAUACUAAACAACAGGUAUAAAAUCAGCACAAACAUAGAAGGCAGGAGUAAAACUGUCUGACUAAAAGAAGCCUGUUUAUGACAGACAUUAAAUAUGAAUUUGAGGAACUUGAAUACUAACAAGCCCAUGGAAGGUUUUUGUGUGUGUAGUUUUAAAAACAAUUGUAACAUGUAACUUAGGUUCUUACAUUUUUCAACAUUGCAGUAUUAUAUGAUAAUACUUCAUAUGUAAAUAUAUUAUUGUACAGCAGAUCUCUUUUUUCAUCUUGCAUGACUGAGAUUCUAUACUCUCUGAAGAACAACUUCUCAUUGCCCCCUGCCCCAGUCCCUGGCAACCACAAUUCUACUUCUUAUUUCUAUAAUUUUGGACUAUUUCAGUUACUUCCUAGAAAUAGAAUCAUGUGGUAUUUGUUUUUCUGUGACUGACUUAUUUCACUUAACAUAAUGUCUUCAAGGCUUGUGUGUCUUAUAGCAUAUGAUAGGAGUUCCUUUUUUAUGACUGGAUAAUAUUCCAUUGUUUGUAUGCAUCACACUUUAUUUCAUUCAUCUGUAAAUGGAUAUUUAGAUGAUUUACCCUCUUAGCUAUUAUAGAUAAAGCUUCCAUGAAUGUAGGAGUGCAAGGUGCAAGUCUCUUCGGGACCUUGUUUUCAAUUCUUUUGAAUAUGAAUAAAGACCCCAAAGUCCUUUGCUCAUUUUUUAGUUGUGUUGUUUGUGGCUUUACUAUUGAAUUAUAGAAAACCAUAUUUUGUAUCUUAACCCCAUAUCAGAUAUAUGGCUUAUAGAUUUUUUCUCCCAUUCUUAUGUUGGCUUUUAUUUUGUUGCUUAUUUCCUUUUCUGUGUAGAAGCUUUUUAGUUUGAUGUAGUUUCAUUUGUCUAUUUUUGCUUUUGUUGUUAGUGCUUUUGGUGUCAUAUCCAAUAAAUCAUUUUAAGACCAAUGUUAUGAAAAUUUUCCCCUACCUCUUUGUUUUAUAAUUUUCAUUCUCACGUUUAAGUCUAAUUCAUUUUGAGUUGAUUUUUGUGUAUGAUGUAACAAUAAGGAUUCAAAUUUUAUUCUUUUCCAUGUGCAUAUACAGUUUUCUCAACACUGUUGAAAAGACUAUCCUUGUGUAGUCUUGUCACGCUUAUGGAAGAUCAUUUGUGUUAUUCUUGGAUUUAUUUUUGAUUUCCCUGUUCUGUUUCAUUGACCUGUAUGUCUGUGUACUUUUAUGCCAUUACCAUUUUAUUUUGAUUUUGAAGCUUUGUAAUAUGUUUUGAAGUCAGUAAACAUGAAACUACCAGCUUUUUCCUUCUUUUACAAGAUUGUUUUUGAAAUGGGGGCGGGGGGUGGUCUGUGUUUGUCAGCUCCUUAUUGCAUGAACAAAAUACCUAACAAGAAUAAAUUAGAGGAGGAAAAGUUUAAUUUGGCUCUUGGUUUCAGAGGUUUGGUCCAUGGUUGGCUGACUUCAUUGCUCUGGGCCUAAAGUGAGGCAGAGCAUUAUGGUGGGAGGGUGAGGGAGAGGAAAGCUUCUCACCUCAUGACAGCCAGGAAGCAGAGACAGAAAUUAAACUCACAGAGACAAAACAUAACCCCCUAAAGCAUAUGCCCAGUGACCUACAUGCUGUAGCCAUAUCCUACCUUCCUAUAGUUACCGCCCAACACAGUAGUGGAUUAAUCCACUGGUUAUGUUUCAGUUCUCAUAAUCAAAUCGUUUUGCUUCUGAACAUUCUUGCAUUGCCUAACAUGAAUUUUCAGGGUGGGUGGGGUACACCUCAUAUUCAAACCAUAACAAAAGUCCUUCAUGGUUCUAAAGCUAUAUGAUUUUUUUUUUUAAUGGAUACCAGGGAUUGAACUCAGGAACACUCAACCACUGAGCCACAUCCCCAGUCCUAUUUUGUAUUUUAUUUAGAGCUGGGGAUCUUAAUGAGUUGCUUAGCACCUUGCUUUUGCUGAGGCUGGCUUUGAACUCACAAUCCUCCUACCUCAGCCUCCCAAGCCACUGGGAUUACAGGCAUGCACCACUGAGCCCAGCUGAGCUAUGUGAAUUUUAGGACUACUUUUUCUUCUACAAAAGACAAUCCUGGAGUUUGAUCGUGAUAUCACUGACUCUAUUGAUCAAGUUCAGUAGUGUGGACAUUUUAACAAUCCAUUAAUAGCAUGUCUUUCCCUUUAUUUGUGUAAUCUUUAAUGUCAUUCAGCAGUGCUUUAUAGCUUUCAGUGUACAAGUCUUUCACUUCAUUGGUUAAAUUUAUUCCUAUGUUUUUUUAUCACUUUUGAAGCAACUAUAAAUGGAAUUGUUUUUCGAUUUCCUUUACAAAUUGUUUGUUGUUAAUAUGUUGAUUUUGUAUUUGGCAACUUUGGUAAUUUCAUUUGUUUCUAACAGUUUUGUUGUGGAAUUGUUGAUGUUUUCCACAUAUAAGAUCAUGUCUUCUAUGACUAGAGAUAAUUUUACUUCACCCUUUCUAAUUCACAUGCCUUUUAUUUCUUGUCUAGUUGCUCUAUCUAGGACUUUCAAUACUAUGUUGAAUAGAAGUGAUGAUAAUAGGCUAGUUUUCCUUCUGCUAUUAAUUUUGAGUUUCAUUCCAUUGUAGUUGGAAAAAGAUAAUUGGUAUGAUUUUAGUUGUCUUAAAUUUGCUAAGAAUAGUUUUCUGAUCUAACAUGAUUUAUACUAUAGAAUGUUACUUAUAUUCCUUAUGUAAAAUAAUGAAUUUUCUACUGCUUUUAGAUGCAGAUGUUCUAUGUAUGUCUGUUAGGUCCAUUUGGUCUACACAGUCAUCCCCUGUUGUCUGUGUGAAAUAGGUUCCAGAACCCCUAUGCAUCCCCAAAUCUGUGGUGCUCAAGUCCUUCAUAUGAAAUGACAUUAUAUAUAUAAAAUAUGUAUGUGUGUAUAUAUAUAUUAUAUACAUGUACAUAUUAUUUAAAAGAUGUAUAUAACCUAUGUAAAUAUAUAUAUAUAUAUAUAUAUAUAUAUAUAAUCUCUAUAUUACAUGUAAUAUCUAACAUAAUGUAAAUGUUAUGUAAAUAGUUGUUAUACUACACUGUUUAGGGAAUAGUAACAGGGAAAAGGUCUGAACAUGUUCAGUGCACAUUAAAUUUUUUUGAAAUAUUUUGUGAUCUAUGGUUAAAUCUUCAGAUGCAGAAACUGCUGCCUAUAGUCUAGUUCGUUUCCUGUGUAUUUCCUUACUGGUCUGUCUGGGUAUUUCUUUCAUUAUUGAAAUCUACUGUUAUUGUGUUACUAUAUCUCCUCUCACUUUUGUGAACACUAUGUGUAUCCUCAAUCUAAAGCAAGUCUUUUUUGACAGCAUAUAAUUGGAUCUUGCAUUUUAAUUUAUUCAGUUGCUCUGUCAAUUUAUUAGAGUUCAAUUUACUCACAUUUAAAAUAAUUGUGAUAGAAAGAAUUUACUUUUGUCAUUUUGUUAGUUUUUUUCCUAUUUAUGGGGGUUUUAUCCGUUUUGCUGUCUUUUUGUUUCACACAUGGUUUUUAUUCCUUUUUCAUUUUCUUUUGCAAGUCUUCUAUAGGAAUAUUCUCUGUAGUUACUAUAAGACUUACAUAAAAUACAGUUAUAGCAAUCUAUUUUAAACUGAUAGUAAUUUGACUUUAAUUUCAUAUAAAAACUCUACUCUUUUAUUCCAUAGAAGAUUUUUAGAGCUGUGAGAUGAUGAAGGAGAAGUUUUAGGAAAAAUAAUAAUGGUAAAUUAUCAAUAUGAAUGAGUGGUGCUGAUAAGUGAAUUAUCAGUUCAGAAACUGUUGUAAACAUUAAUCAAUGUAUGAUGUAUAAGUAGAAAGGAAACUUACUGAAUCCUUGUUUUAUUCCAUGUAUUGUUUUAUUUAUUUCUAGAGAAACUUUAUUAUGCUAGUGGUAACAUGAUUCUAUAGAAAAGAAAACCAAAGUUAUAUACCUAGUAAAACUCAAUUUAUGGUUGUAGGCAUUUUAUAUAUUUUUUUAAAUCAGGUUUUGUUUGGUUUGGUUUGGUUUUAGUUUUGGUUUUGGUAUGAGGGAUUGAACCCAGGAAUGCUUCACCACUGAGCCACAUCCCCAACCCUUUUUUAUAUCUUAUUUAGAGACAGGGUCUCGCUGAGUUGCUUAGGACCUCGAUAAGUUGCUGAGGCUGGCUUUGAACUCGUGAUCCUCCUGCCUCAGUCUCCCAAGCUGCUCAGAUUACAGGCAUGCACCCCCACACCUGGAAAAAUCAGGUUUUUAACAUGAUAAACUCACUACAUAGAUUUACAAUCUAAUUGACACUACUGUUGAUAGACUUUUAUGGCCUUUUUUUUUUUUUUUUUGGUUAGUUCCACAAAUGUUGAUUGUUUGUCAAAAGACUGUGCAAACUUGCAUUUAGAGUUUCUGUGCUCUAUACUUGGCUACCAGAUCAAAUUUGCUAAUUUAACAAAUUUAAGUAUUUGCUAAUUUAAGUAUUCUUUAUUCUUAUGAUUUUGUCUGCUUAAUCUAUUAAUUAUUGAGAAAAGUAUGUUAAAAUUUUCCUGAGGGGCUGGAGUUGUGGCUCAGUGGUACAGUGCUUGCCUAGCAUGUGCGAGGCCCUGGGUUCGAUCCUCAGCACCACAUGAAAAUAAAUAAAUAAAAUAAAAGUAUUGUGUACAACUAAAGCAGUACAUAUUUUUUUAAAAAUUUCCCGAAAAUAGAUUUUCUUUAUCUGUUAUUAAUAUUCAGACUUUAUGUUAUUACAUGAAUAUAAUUGAGAGUUUAUUUUUGUGAAGAAUAUAGCUUUUUAUUAUUUUUAGUGACUUACUUAACUUUAAUAAUCUGUUUUACCUUAAAAUAUAUUGGAUCUAAUAUGAAUAUAAUGAGCUAUUUUGAGUCAGUAAAUCCUUUGCAUAUCUUUUGUGGAUAUGUGUGUGAGCUUCCAAUCUUCCUAUAUUUUUAUAUUUUAGGUAUGUAUCUUAUAAAUAGAAUAUAACUCUAUGCUUUUUCUUAAUUCAGUUUUUUAAAUUCAUUUAAGAUUAUUUGGUUUUGGAAAAGGACAGACAAGCAGCCUAGGUUUGCCUUCUUCCCUAACGGUUUGAUUAGGGCUCUUGGACAAUGGUGCCACCCAGGGUAAAUAGCUAUAUUCACAGAGCAAAGGGACAGAUUUCUCUUUAACCACUCAGCUGGUUAUACCAUGGAUAUGGAACUGAUCCAGUUUGUUAUACACAUUCUCUAAUCUAAUCCUGUAUUCAUUGGGGUUUUUUGCUUCUCAAGAUGAUAUUUCUAAGUUUUUAGUGUAUGCUUAUUUUUACUUAUAUGGUUUUAUUAACAUAUCAUAACUCAAUACAAAAUUGUUUGCACAUAUGAAAAAUUUUUUGAUCCUCCCAGAAAGGAUCUUGCUGCUUCUUCUAUAUUCUCUAUACUUUGCAUAUUCCUCUGCUUCUAUUACAAUUUCUGUUUAACAACUUUUAUUUUAAAGGACCAUCUUCUGUGUAAAUUUUAAAUUCAUUAAGAACAGAGAGAACAGAGACUGAGUCUUAUUUAUACUCAAGGCCUAAUGUUCAGUUUAUUAAGUCUUAGGCAUAGUAAAAAUUAAUAAAAUGUCAGAUGGAAAAAAUGAACAAACAACUGAACUGAAUGGUUAAAUGUUAGCUAUUGUGUGAUAGGAUUCAAGUAUAAAAGCCUUUACAUUCUGUACCUCCAAUCAGUCUUUGACAAUCUUUAAAUCUUUCACUUUGAAUUCUAGAAAAACAGUAUUUUGUAUAUUGAAGAAUUUGAAAUCCUUAUACCAAUAAGGAUUCUUUCAAUUGUAACUAAUGGAAAUGCAACUCAAGCAGGCUUAAUAAAUGUGUGAAAAAUUUAGGAACUCAGUCACUGUACCUAAGACCCCUAACAAUAUCAUGAGAGCCCAAUCACUCCUUUCUUCAUUGUUUAAUUCAUUUAUUUCAUCCUUAGUCUCUCUCCUCUUGAUGGUUUUCCCAUUGUUCCCCCUUACCUCAUCCUUAAUGCUAUUCCGUCUUCCCAACAGUUUCACUAAAGUUUGAAAUUUGCUUUUACUAGACUGGUUUGGGGGUGACUUGAUUGCUCAGGAACCAAUUACUGUUUCUAUGAGUGUAGAAUAUGCUGAUUGACUUAGAUUCCUGUCACAUAUCCAGUAUUUUCAGUAAGGGGGUAGUCACACUCUUCUAAUCAUGAGGAAAGAAGUGUUUCCUUAAGGAAACAUAGUUAAGAGAGUAUAACUAAAUAAGAAAAAUGUUACCAUGUUGAAUAGAUGUGUUUUCUAAAUUGGGAAGUUCUUUUUUAUAGUCACUUUGAACAAAGUUUUAUUCAGAGAGCAAUUUAAUGUAUAUUCAUUAAUGAAAGAAUUUCAUAGCCUUAAAAUUACUAAUAAAAUUUAGAGAGUAACUUUCUUCUGCAAAUUGCCUUUCUCCUUUUACCAGGUUGUAUAACAAAGGGAAAUUAGUUGAAGAACAUUUAAUAUGAAUAAUGAGUUCCAGACCCUGCUGGUCUCUUAACAGAUAUAUAUCCUCUCCAUCUAUUUUUUAGACUUGGUAGAUACUCUAUUAUGUCAGAUUAACAGUUGGAUUCAUUAUUUUAAAUUUAGAAAAACUCUGUCUAAAAAGGCAGAAGUUUUAAAAUAAAAUACUCAACAAAUUGUUUGGACCUUAACAUACUAUUUAAAAAUAAGUUUAUUCUGUGUUGCCCAAUUUUCAAAUGCCUUGUAGUUUUCUGUUCAUCUACUCUCCAAUUUUGUUUUAAUAACUUCUUAAUGAAAAAUGAAUGGUACCCAAAAAUACUACCCAUCUCCAGAUUAGAGCUGAUUGAUCAAAAUAUUAAUUGGUUUAUUGUUUAUUUUGUUUGCUUACAUUGCUAUAUUCUUUGAUAGGGACUCCUUGGAAAUAGAGGGCCUCCUGGGCCUCCUGGUCUCAAAGGAACUCAGGUAUGGAGGAAUGAAUAUCCAGUCAACAGCUUUUAGGUUCUCAUUUUCCUUUUUUAUUUUUCAUGAAACUUUGGUUUUUGCUUAAAGAAAUCAUUGUCUUAGUGUGGACAACUUUUGACAUGAAGGAUGUCAAGUUACCAUUUUGUACUGGAAAUUAUGGAAUGGAAUUUGGAAUCAUUUUACAGUGUUCUGUAAGUGAUUCAUGUCAGUGGUCUAUAGUGGAAUGUUGAAGAAUCUGAACCCAGAAUCUCACUCAUAUUUAUUAGAAUUUAUAUUAUUUGUUACUAUUUUAUAUUUGUAACCUAUUAAAUUAUAUUUUAAUUGAAUUGUGAAUUAAUAAGAAAUGCUUAUCAAAUGAAUAAGAUUAAUGAUUCCAGGGAGGUCUAUAUAUGUUGCUAAAAUAUAAUAUCAACUAUGAACACCAGCUAUUUAUUAAAAGGUGAAUAAAUGAAUAUAUUGAGUAAAUAUGUGUGUAAAUGGUGUAUGAAUACAUAACUUUUAUUAUUUUAGAAAACAAUAGCUAGAAUUUCUUUAUUUUUUACGUUCAUCAUUAGUGUCUACCUAUAAUUUUUGAUCCUUAUAAUAAUGCACCAGAUUUUAUAUUUUAUGACAUUAUUUUACCCUAAGAAUAUUGGACCACAAAUUAGUCAAGAAUAAAUUCUGUAAACAAUAAGCCCCAUUGGGGUAAGGUCUGAUAUGCCUGUGAAUCACUAUACCUUAAGAUUCAAAAGCAUAUUUGUUGAGUGGAUUAAGUAUCAAAAUGUACCUAAAGCAAACUAUUCUGUAUAAGUAAUUUUAAAAUAUAGCAAUGUGUAUUGAUUUCUGUCUGUUAAGAAUUUAGUUGAGUUCCUCUCUGCGCCCAGCAAAGUAAAGAUUAUUCUUAAUGAAUGGUCUCAGUGUUUCUAAUGCUGGUUUUGUGAUAUUGUAAUCGUUUUCACUUUUCUCUACUCCCAAUUUUUCGUGUAUGACUUAUCACAUCUAUCAACUUAAAAAUAAUCCAAUAGCACAUGUCCCUCUUAAAGUAGAUGUUAUUACAGAAGAAAAUCAAAUGUUAUGGGAUAAUUCUAAGAUAAAAGAAAAUCACAGCAUUAUUUUUAUCAUAUCUCAGAAUUAGCUUCAGAUCCCAGAAUAAAUAUGGAGAAUAAGUGAUUACAUUUUUAAGUGCUUAUUUUAGGCCAUGAUAUGUUCUGAUCUUUUUUAAGGGAGAAGAAGGACCAGUUGGACCCUUUGGAGAAUUGGGGCCUAGAGUAGGUAUCAUGUAAAUAAUUAUCUAUAAGUACUUCUCUUGAAAACAGCUUUCUGUAAAUUGGGGGUGGGGGGGGUGGGAGUACUAAGGAUUAAACCCAGAAGUGCUUAACCACUAAGCCAUAUUCCUAGCCUUUUUACGUAUUUUGUUUUGAGACAGAGUCUCUCUAAAUUGCUCAGAGCAUCUGUAAAUUGCUGAGGCUGGCUUUGAACUUGCUGUCCUCUUCCCUCAGCCUCCCAAGCCUCUGGGAUUACAGGUGUGUGCCACUAUACCUGGCUUGAAAAUAUUUUUAAUAACAUAACAUUUUUAUUAGUAGCAAAGGACAGAAAUUUAUAACAAAUUGUAGUCAUAAAAUCUCCUCCAUAAAGUAAACCAGUAACUGAAAUUCUCCAGGAGUAUUUGGAAUUAUACUAUGCCUAAUUACAUAUUUGUUUGAUUUUUCAGUGGUUUUAGUAACUUGUGCAAAUUAUUUACAAGUUUCUCAAAAAAUAAUAGGAAGAAAAAUACUUCAUCAAUUUUAUUAAUAUUCUGGAAGUGUCUGUUUUCUAAGUGUAUCAGUAAAAUUAUAUAAAGCAAAUGAUAAGUCUCUCUUGACUCCUUUUUCAUUGGAUAAUACCAUAUUUUGCUAUAUGAACUAUUGUUUUCAAGUUCUGAAGAUGAAUUUGAACAUUUUUGAAGUGCCUGCCUGAUCAAAUUUUACAUUAAAAUUAAGUAGUUAAGAUAAUGUAUUUAUUUUAAGAGGUAUUAGAUUCACAUGAAAUACAUCGCAUUCUCUUUUUUUGAAAACGUAAUAAAUUUUAGGGUUUUUAUGAAUGUUUACCUUUGAGGAAAGAGUAAUCAUUUUAUUUGUACCCUUAUCUUACUAGAAUAUAUAUCACUACCAUUCAGUUGAAAAGAAGACUUAUUUUUAUUUUUUGCAAGAAAAAUAACAUAAAAACUGUUAUUUGAGCCCAGUAAAAGUGAUCUUAUUUUAAAUUUAUUUCCCUAGAAAACAAGAGAACCAUAUUUAUCUCUUGUCUACUUAGUCUUAAUACUUAUUAUUCUUGUUACUCUUGGUUGAAGGUCUGUUUGGGGACCAUUAUUUCUCUAAGUAUGUCACAUGAAUCAACCCUAAUCUUGAAACAACUCUGCAAGAUAUGGAUCUCUUUUUUAAAUGUGAAAAUAAGGUUUCAGUGUUGCACACUCAAGUAUAACGCUCUCAAAAUAAAUUUAGUGUGACAGAAUUUAAAUAGAACCAGAAGUUACGAUUCCAUCACAGAUGCCCUGCAUGGCUGAUGUCAAAGAGAUUAUAAAUGCACUGAUAUCAGAUUCUAGGAGAUUCUUUCAAUAAUGUGGAUUCACUGUAUAACUAUUUCUUAAUAUGCUUCAUGAUGAGUGAGAUUACAUUAUUAAACGUGAAAGGAAUAUUUUCACUUAAAUUCUUUCCAACCAAUGUAAAUCAAAUGAAUUACUAAAAUGUUAUUGUAAAGAUUAUGGAAGACAUUUAAUAAUUUGGACUCAAUUAGAUUUCUUAUCCUGUAUAUCUUCAAAUUAAUUAAAAAUUGACAUUUAACAAUAAUAAAAUGAUUUUCAGUUCUUUGUGCUUGAUUGGAAACCAUUAGUAAUUUUAAGCAAAGCAAAAGUAAAAAUUAAAACAACUUCUUACCUGGAAGUUCUGAAUGUAACUUUAAAUUGCUAAAUUUUGUAGUCAAAACAGAAUGAGAGCCAGAGGGUUAUUUCAUUUAACUUCAUUUUAGAAGGAAAAAAAUGUGAGGUUUUUUUUAAUGAACAGCAAUAAUAAAAUCAUACCUAGUCAAUACUGUAAAUUAGUGUUGUAUUUAGUACUGAAUAACUGAACAAAAAAAUGAGGAAGGCAUGCAAGAAUAGGUUUGAGGGUUAAAUUAAGAGGUGAAUUUUGGACAUUUUAGUUAGAUAUGCUUGUUGUUGCCAACAUACUUUUUUAAAAAUAUUUUUUUGGUUGUAUAUGGACACAAUACCUUUAUUUUGUUUAUUUUUAAUGUGGUGUCAGGAUCUAACCCAGUGCCUCAUGCAUGCUUGGCAAGUGCUCUACCACUGAGCCACAACCCCGGCUCCUGCCAACAUACUUUUGUAUAUGCUUUUUUUCUACCUGUGUGUUCUUCCUUCAGAUAUCCACAUAACUUGUCCCUUUCUUUAAGACUUCACUUAGGUGCCACAUUUUCAGUGAGACUGAAAAUUAGUGUUGUAAAUUAGUGUUCUUCCCUGGAAAUAUCAAAAAUUUCAAUAAAACUCCCACAACAGUCUAUAUUUCCUUCCUUGCUUGAUUUAUUGUCCUUCAUUUUAUUUACCACCACCUAUCAUCCUAACUUGAUAUAUAUAUGCAUAUAUUUGUUAUGUUAUUUAAAAUUACAUAUAAUUUUAUAAGUGUAUAUGACAUAAUUUUUAAAAACUAACUUUUUAAAAAAUUAUGUCAUCUUUACUAAAAUAUAAGCUUUGAAGUAUUUCAUUUUAUAGUAGUUUAUAUUUUGUAGCCCUUAGAAAACUUUCAGAAAUGAGAAUAACUAAACAUAGCUCUUUUUUUUUUUUCUUUCAUUCGGUUCUCUUAUAGGGAAAACCAGGUCGAAAGGGAUAUGUGGGUGAACCAGGACCAGAAGGCUUAAAGGUAAAGGAUCUGAUUUUAUUAUCAGUUUUAAAAUUUUCAAAAAGGUAAAAGUCUGACUUUCAUACAAAUAUGAAAUGAGUACAGGUCAACUUACAGGGAACCAGUAAGAUGUUAAGAAUAGUUCAAAGGGCAAUUGAGAAUAUAUAUAUUUAUAUUCAUAUUUGUAUAGAUAUGUAAUUAAUUAAGAAUGUUAGGAUAAGAUUUGUGGUUAAAUGACAGCUCACAGGGAAUCCAACUGGGAGCUGCCAUCAGUCAAACUGGCAAGAAAGUGAAUCUUAUUCAUUAAUGAUGUCACAUUCCUCCCUAGAAUGACAUCAGAAUCUAGGCUACUUUUGUAUUAUGCAGGAAAUGGGAAAAAAAAUCUGUAAUGUUUGUUAUUCCCCAUCUGUCACUAGAAGUUGUGAUUCAGUGCAUCAUGUAACUAUUUACUGGGAACUCCCUGAGGAACCACUUGAGAGUUGUUUAAGGGUCACCAACUUUCACAGAAACCUAAGAUCUCUGUUUUCUUCCUGGUCCUAGGGAAAUCAAAUCAAUCAAUCAAUCAACAUCUCUCUCUCUCUCUCUCUCUCUCUCUCUUUCUCUCUCAUCCUUUUCUCCCUCCCUCUCCCUCUCUUUACUUUCUGAAAACUAAAGCAAUAAUGAACAUUAUCUGUUCUGCACAUAACUUCUUUCUGCCUAUUAACAUAAACCUCCUCUGAGAAUCACUAACACAAAGGGUUCAUUUUGAGGGGGGCAACUUCUGGAUGAGGAAGAAAAAAAUACUAAAAAAAAUUAAUAAUCUAUAUGUUAUUCUGCCAUAAAGUAGACACAGGGUGUCUAAUGAUCUUUCUGUCAAGCGCUAGAUACUAGAACUUACUCAAACUUACUCAAAUGCUUCAUUCUUUUCUAUUUACCUAACUGCACACAAAAAUUGGAGGGAAAGUUUGUAUAGACUUUGAAAGUUUAUCUCAAAGUAAUUUAUUCAUGAUAAAUAUUUCAGUCAAUUAAAUCAAUAUUCUUCAAUAGAAAUAUUAUGUGAACCACAGAUGUGACCCACAUUAUCAAGUAAAACAAGCAGGUGAAAUUAAUUUUAAUAAUAUAUUUUAUUUAACCCAAGAUACAAAAUAUUAUCCUUUUAAUAUGUAAUCACUGUUAAUAUUAGCAAUGAGAUAAUUUUGUAUUCUUUGUUGGUAUAAAGGUUUUACAAUCUAAUGUGUAUUUUACACUUAUGAUACAUUUCAAUCAGACCAACCCAUUUCAAAUAAAUAUUCACAACCCACACAUCUUCUGGGGUUAUAGUGUUCAGUAUCUUAGCAUCUUACCGCUCUACACUAUAAUAUAACUUAUAAUUUUUAGACAGAAAUUGAUGUUUAGUAUCCCAUUUCUGUGAUAAACUACAUUUCUUUCAGAUUCACUAUUUGUGGUACCCUAAACUUAAUCCUCUACCUUUCAUUUACUUAUACCUUUGCUCAUGCCAUUUUUCACCACUAAAAAUGACCGUUUCUUAUCAGCACUUAAGUAUUCCCUAUUUGAUAGGGCCCUGAUACAGUAUCAUAAUUCAUUAUUUGAAGUCACUAAUUGUUGGAUUUUGGAAAAGUAAUAUGGUGCACAUAUUGUUUUAACAAACAUUGCCUGCAAGCAGUAAGACACUGUAACAUAAUCAGAUUAAUAUUUCUGCAAUGAAGUGUAAGGGAAUUCAGAUUCAUUGGAAUAAAUCAAGACUAUAAAUGAUCUCGAGAUUAUCCAAAUAGGUCAAGAUUGGCACCAAAUGAGUUUUGGAAAACUUUGGGUUUUAAGAGAUCUAUAGAUGGCAAAAUUGUGGAAUAUAUAAUACUUGUCCAGUGCUGCCAGCUUUUGCAACUUAAACUCACAGGAUACUUGCCUCUACAUAAUCCUUCUAUAAUUAUCUGUGGUAAUUUUCCUCUUCUACUUGAGCAAAUAGAGCAACCCUAUGGGCAAGAAUUUAAUUUUAUUCUUAUAUCAUUGUUCACAGUGCCUGCCAUACUACCUUUGACAGAGUACAAAUAAAAUAAAUAUUUUACUUAAAAAAAUUUUGUUUGUAAAGUGUUUUUAAAGUGAAUAAAAGUAAUGAAUAGAAGAAAGUAGUUUAAGAUAAUAUUUUAUUACUGUUUGAAUGAAUAUUUAUUAAUAGUUUAUUACUGUUUGGAAAUGGAAGUAAAGCUACAUUCCAUGGAAAUAUUGUAACAGAGUUUUGAAUAACUCAGAUUUCCUUUGCCUUUUUUAAGGGUAUGUUUUGAUAAUUACAUAAAAAUGAAAACAGAAGAGCAGUCAUGACUAAUUUUGUUGAAAAAUAAUACAUUUUAUAAAUUUAUAUUCUUAUUAUCAGGGAGAAACAGGAGAUCAAGGAGAUAUUGGAAAAAUUGGUGAAAUG
rnacentral:lncRNA from 1 species